AUGGACGCGUUGAUGGGGAAAUGGGCGUAGACAAACCUCAUCUUGUAGCGGUAGCCCUUGGUGACCCCCUUGAUGAGGUUCUGGACGUGGGAGAUGGCGGUGCGGAUGGCGGCCAUGGUGCGGCGGGUGCCGAACCAUGCGUCCACCUUGAGCUUGCGGCCGCCCUCCUGCAGCUGGAAGUCGAGGUUGAGGUGCUUGAAGUUCCGGGUGAGCUUCCCGCGGGGGCCCUCCACCGUCACCAGCUUGGCCGCCACCGUCACUGUGACGCCCUCCGGGAUGUCCAUCGUCUCCGACGCCAGGAUCGUCUUCAUCUUGCCUCCUCCUCGGGGUCGCGGGGCGGGCGGCGGAAUGGGGUAGGAGGGUUUGCGAAGGAGCGGCGGCGCGCGGAGGGCGAUCCUUUUAUAUAAAAAAGGGGCGGCCAGGGGUAGGGUUUUGUGGUUUGAUCGGUCGAUCCCCGCCGUCGGAUCGGUGGCUUUAGGGUUGGUUUGCAGUUUGCUGGUCAAGUGGUCAGGUGGGCCUGUAAUGCUACUUGGUCACUCGGCUGGGCUUCAGAUCACACUUUUGGCAAGGGCGCCCUCUCACUCUCACUCGCUGUACCUUACUCCUUCGAGGUUCACGUCGCGUCACUCAUCGCCAUCGUGUUCUCGACCGACGACAUUCACACACAGCGAGCUCCUGGAAGUAGAGUCGCAGACACACACUGUCAGCACUGCUUCUUCAGUUGGUAGUGUUUGGUUGAGGAGCCAAGUAGAACGGAGCCGUUCCAUUCCUGAUUCUAGGAACGGAGUCGCUCUGUUCUGUGUUUGGUAAUCUGGAACGGAGCGGCUCUGUUUUUUGUUUGGUUGCAGAGUGAACGGAACAGAGCGUGACUGUGAGAGCGGGAUGAGAACGGAGCGGCUCCGUCCGGUUGAUUUUUUUGGAGCGGAAUGGUUCCGGAUCUGAGGAGAAUAUUCCCUAAUUGGAGUCAUUCCGUUCUAGUUACUUUGUAGCCAAACAGCAACAAAACUAGGACAGAACGGCUCCGUUCUACUUGGCUCUUCAACCAAACACUACCUUGCUGAAUCAGAAGCAAGACAGGAGCACGAUGAUGUGCAAGUUGAUAGGCUACGCAGGAGCGGAAGGGUGCGCAAGGCAAACCCGGCUGUGUUCGGCCCACAGUGGGUCACCAAUUAAGCCCACCUGUAAUAGGAAGAUGUGUAUUAAGGCUGGUGGCAGUGCGGGCUGCAGCGCGGGCGAGAAGAGGCCGCUGCCGCUCGCGCGCGGGCGAGAGGUGGGCGAGAGGCCGGCGCCGGGCGAUGGCGCUCGCGCCCGACGAGAGCGGGCGGUAUCGCCUCGCUCUCGCCCGCGCUGGAGCGCCCGCCCGGGCGAGAUGCGGGCGAGAGGGAGGCGAGGCACUGGCGGGGCGAGAGCGACGUGGCGCGAUCUGAUUGGUCCAUGUGUCGCGAUCCGAUUGGUCCACGUGUGCUAGCCGUUGCAACUAGCCGUUUUUGACCGUUUGGAGUCCAAAAAAUUCGAAAAAAAUGCAAAAAAUCACAAAUUUCAUCCCCAAUCCCUCUAUAUAUACCCCUACCCAGGUGGAGCUCAUUCUACACACCAUUUCAUCUCAUUUUUCUCUUCCAAACUCCUCUUUCUUCACACAAUGUCGGGUUGGUCCCCAGAUUUGAACACCUUCACGGAUCUCUUGCAGUCCGAUGGGUCACCUACAACCCUUCUGUUAGAUGAGUCUUCUUCACUACAUCGUCGCUCCGAUGUUUUAGCCUCACUCCCCCGUGCAUUAUUUCCGGCUGCACGUCCACCACCAUACCCUUAUCCCUAUCAUUUGUAUCAAUAUCCGUUGUCUUCAUAUAGUCAACCUUCAACUUCUCAAGCCAGAAUUCAAGCCUCAUUCCCGGUACGUCCGUAUGCCCCUCCCCCACCUGCUGCGGACGGAAGUCAAGCUUCUUUCCAGAUACCUCCAUACGCCCCUCCUCCAUAUGCUCCACCUCCGUAUGGAGUACCUCCUUAUGCUCCAUAUGCUCCACCUCCGUAUGGAGCACUUCAUCCAUAUGCUCCACCUACGUAUGGAGCACCUCCUCCAGUUGCACCUUUAUCUGUUGGAUCUGAAAACCAAGCUGAGGAAAAUGGUGGCAAGUUGUUCGCCACGAGCCCAAGUGGUCAGCAAAGCAUGGUCUUGGUAGUGGAUCUGAUUCGACUGCGAAUAAGAGAACCCGACUCGGAGUCUCUGGUGAAUAUAGUUCUGGAGGCACUGAAGACACCGAGGAGGAAGUGCCCCGACCAGUGGGGCGUGAUAGGGCAAAGGCGGCUGCGCGAAAGACAAAGACGAAGGGGAAAGGGAAGGAAGCCAUGAGCAGCGAAUCAACAAGUGAAGCAUUCAAAAUGAAUAACUUGUGGGGUGGAUUAGUGAAGGCCAAGCUUUUGAAGCAAUGGAACAUCCUAAAGGGCCGAUCAACCAGAGAUAUGGACCCGGCUGAAAGACGUACCCAUGGCAGGGCCGUAAAGAUGGUCGAAAAAGAACUUGGUCUGCUAGAUGACGAAGAAGAGGAACCGGAAGCGGAACGUGAAGAGGAGGAAGAUGAGGAUGAGAUCGAGGAGUCCGAUUAGAGUUAUGUAAUUUUAUUUUAAUUAUCAUGUUGUGUGUUUUCUGAGCGUUGAAAUAAAUCCGCGUGAAUUACUUAAUUCUGAAAUAGAAAAGCUGACGUGGCUAUUGAAAGGGAAUUAGGCUUACACCUAGUUCCUAAAUAAUUUUGGUGGUUGAAUUGCCCAACACAAAUAUUGGACUGACUAGUUUGCUCUAGUGUAUAAGUUAUACAGGUGCAAAAGGUUCACAUCUAGCCAAUAAAAAGACCAAGUGUUGGAUUCAACAAAGGAGCAAUAAGGCAACCGAGGGCACCUCUGGCUGGAGGCACCGGACUGUCCGGUGUGCACCGGACAGUGUCCGGUGCGCCCGUAGACUUCGUUUUCUACCCUUCGCCAGAGGACUUCGACUUCAACCCUUCGCCCUCGGGAAUUCGCGGAGGCCGGCGCGCUAUAAUUCACCGGACUGUCCGGUGUGCACCGGACAUGUCCGGUGCGCCAACGAACCGCGGCCUCCGGAACUCGUCAUCCUCGGGUUUUCACGACAGCCGCUCCGCUAUAAUUCACCGGACUGUCCGGUGUGCACCGGACUGUCCGGUGUGCCAGCGGAGCAACGGCUCUCUGCGGCGCCAACGGCUCCCUGCGCAGCAUUAAAUGCGCGCGCAGCGCGCGCAGACGUCAGGGCUGCCCAUACCGGUGCACCGGACAUCAAACAGUGCAUGUCCGGUGUGCACCGGACACCUCGGCAGGCCCACAAGUCAGAAGCUCCAACGGCUAGAAUCCAACGGCAGUAAUGACGUGGCAGGGGCACCGGACUGUCCGGUGCGCCAUCGAGCAGACGCCUCCAGCCAACGGUCAAGUUUGGUGGUUGGGGCUAUAAAUACCCCAACCACCCCACCAUUCAUUGCAUCCAAGUUUUCCACUUCUCAACUACUACAAGAGCUCUAGGCAUUCAAUUCUAGACACAUUCAAAGAGAUCAAAUCCUCUCCAAUUCCACACAAAACCCUAGUGACUAGAGAGAGUGAUUUGUCGUGUUCAUUUGAGCUCUUGCGCUUGGAUUGCUUCUUUUCUUUCUCACUUGUUCUUGAGAUCACACUCCAUUGUAAUCAAGGCAAGAGGCACCAAUUGUGUGGUGGCCCUUGCGGGGAAGUUUUGUUCCCGGCUUUGAUUUGAGAAGAGAAGCUCACUCGGUCCGAGGGACCGUUUGAGAGAGGGAAGGGUUGAAAGAGACCCGGCCUUUGUGGCCUCCUCAACGGGGAGUAGGUUUGCAAGAACCGAACCUCGGUAAAACAAAUCUCCGUGUCUCAUUUGCUUAUUCGCUUGGGAUUUGUUUUGCGCCCUCUCUUGCGGACUCAUUUAUUAUUACUAACGCUAACCCCGGCUUGUAGUUGUGUUUACAUUUGUAAAUUUCAGUUUCGCCCUAUUCACCCCCCCUCUAGGCGACUAUCAAUUGGUAUCAGAGCACGGUGCUUCAUUAGAGCCUAACCGCUCGAAGUGAUGUCGGGAGAUCACGCCAAGAAGGAGAUGGAGACCGGCGAAAAGCCCACUACAAGCUACGGGAGCACUUCAUCGGAAGAGUCCCGCACCAAAAGGAGGGAGAAGAAGAAGAGCUCCUCCAACAAAGGGAAGGAGAAGAAAUCUUCUUCUCACCACAAAGAGAAGAAGGAAAAAUCUUCUUCCCACAAGCCACAUCGGAAAGGCGACAAGCACAAGAGGAUGAGGAAGGUGGUCUACUACGAGACCGACACUUCAUCAACUUCUACCUCCGACUCCGAUGCGCCCUCCGUCACUUCUAAGCGCCAAGAGCGCAAGAAGUAUAGUAAGAUCCCCCUACGCUACCCUCGCAUUUCCAAACAUACACCUUUACUUUCCGUCCCAUUAGGCAAACCACCAACUUUUGAUGGUGAAGAUUACGCUAGGUGGAGCGAUUUAAUGCGAUUUCAUCUAAUCUCGCUCCACAAAAGUAUAUGGGAUGUUGUUGAGUUUGGUGCACAGGUACCGUCGGUAGGGGAUGAGAACUAUGAUGAGGAUGAGGUGGCCCAAAUCGAGCACUUCAACUCUCAAGCAACGACGAUACUCCUCGCCUCUUUAAGCAAAGAGGAGUAUAACAAAGUACAAGGGUUGAAGAGCGCCAAGGAGAUUUGGGAUGUACUCAAAACCGCGCACGAGGGAGACGAGCUCACUAAGAUCACCAAGCGGGAAACGAUCGAGGGGGAGCUCGGUCGGUUCCGGCUUCACAAAGGAGAGGAGCUGCAACACAUGUACAACCGGCUCAAGACUUUGGUGAACCAAGUGCGCAACCUCGGGAGCAAGAAGUGGGACGAUCACGAAGUGGUAAAUGUUAUUUUAAGAUCUCUCAUUUUUCUUAAUCCCACUCAAGUUCAAUUGAUUCGUGGUAAUCCUAGAUAUACUAAAAUGACCCCCGAGGAAGUUAUCGGGCAUUUUGUAAGUUUUGAGUGCAUGAUAGAAGGCUCGAGGAAAAUCAACGAGCUUGGCGACUCAUCCGAAGCCAAACCCGUUGCAUUCAAGGCAACGGAGGAGAAGAAGGAGGAGGCUACACCAAGUCGACAACCAAUCGACGCCUCCAAGCUCGACAAUGAGGAAAUGGCGCUCGUCAUCAAGAGCUUCCGUCAAAUCCUCAAACAAAGGAGGGGGAAAGACUACAAGUCCCGCUCCAAGAAGGUUUGCUACAAGUGUGGUAAGCCCGGUCAUUAUAUUGCUAAAUGUCCUAUGUCUAGUGACAGUGACCGAGGCGACGACAAGAAGGGGAGAAGAAAGGAGAAGAAAAGGUACUACAAGAAGAAGGGCGGCGAUGCCCAUGUUUGUCGGGAAUGGGACUCCGACGAGAGCUCAAGCGACUCCUCCGACGACGAGGACGCCGCCAACAUCGCCGUCACCAAGGGACUCCUCUUCCCCAACGUCGGCCACAAGUGCCUCAUGGCAAAGGACGGCAAAAAGAAGGUUAAAUCUAAAUCCUCCACUAAAUAUGAAUCCUCUAGUGAUGACAAUGCUAGUGAUGAGGAAGAUAAUUUGCGUUCCCUUUUUGCCAACCUUAACAUAGCUCAAAAAGAAAAAUUGAAUGAAUUGGUUAGUGCUAUUCAUGAAAAGGACGACCUUUUGGAUUCCCAAGAGGAUUGUCUAAUUAAAGAAAACAAAAAACAUGUUAAGGUGAAAAAGGCUUAUGCUCUAGAAGUAGAAAAAUGUGAAAAAUUGUCUAGUGAGCUAAGCACUUGCCGUGAAAUAAUUGACAACCUUAGGAAUGAAAAUGCUAUUUUAAAUGCUAAGGUUGAUUCUCAUGCUUGUGAUGUUUCAAUUUCCACUCCUAGAGAUAAUAAUGAUGAUUUGCUUGCUAGGAUUGAAGAAUUGAACAUUUCUCUUACUAGUCUUAGAAUUGAGAAUGAAAAAUUGCUUGCUAAGGCUAAGGAUUUUGAUGUUUGCAAUACUACCAUUUCCGACCUAAGAACUAAGAAUGAUAUCUUGCAUGCUAAGGUUGUAGAAUUAAAAUCUUGCAAACCCUCUACAUCUACCAUUGAGCAUGUUUCCAUUUGUACUAGAUGUAGAGAUGUUGAUAUUAAUGCUAUUCAUGAUCACAUAGCUUUAAUUAAAAAACAAAAUGAUCAUAUAGCAAUAUUAGAUGCUAAAAUUGCUGAACAUAACUUAGAGAAUGAAAAAUUUAAAUUUGCUAGAAGCAUGCUUUAUAAUGGGAGACGCCCUGGCAUCAAGGAUGGCAUUGGCUUCCAAAAGGGAGACAAUGUCAAACUUAAUGCCCCUCCUAAGAACUUGUCUAACUUCGUUAAGGGCAAAGCUCCCAUGCCUCAGGAUAACGAGGGUUACAUUUUAUACCCUGCCGGCUAUCCUGAGAGCAAAAUUAGGAAGAUUCAUUCUAGGAAGUCUCACUCUGGCCCUAAUCAUGCUUUUAUGUAUAAGGGUGAGACAUCUAGUUCUAGGCAACCAACCCAUGCCAAGUUGCCUAAGAAGAAAAUUCCUAAUGCAUCAAAUGAUCAUGCCAUUUCAUUUAAAACUUUUGAUGCAUCUUAUGUGCUUACUAGCAAAUCCGGCAAGGUAGUUGCCAAAUUUGUUGGGGGCAAACACAAGGGCUCCAAGACUUGUGUUUGGGUACCCAAAGUUCUUGUUUCUAAUGCCAAAGGACCCAAGACCGUUUGGGUACCUAAAGUCAAGAACUAAAAUUGUUUUGUAGGUUUAUGCAUCCGGGGGCUCAAGUUGGAUACUCGAUAGCGGGUGCACAAACCACAUGACAGGGGAGAAAAGGAUGUUCUCCUCAUAUGAGAAAAACCAAGAUCCCCAACGAGCUAUCACAUUCGGGGAUGGAAAUCAAGGUUUGGUCAAAGGUCUUGGUAAAAUUGCUAUAUCUCCUGACCAUUCCAUUUCCAAUGUUUUUCUUGUAGAUUCCUUAGAUUACAACUUGCUUUCCGUUUCUCAAUUAUGUCAAAUGGGCUACAACUGUCUAUUCACUGAUGUUGGUGUCACUGUCUUUAGAAGAAGUGAUGAUUCAAUAGCAUUUAAGGGAGUGUUAGAGGGUCAGCUAUACUUGGUAGAUUUUGAUAGAGCUGAACUCGACACUUGCUUAAUUGCUAAGACUAACAUGGGUUGGCUCUGGCACCGUCGACUAGCCCAUGUUGGGAUGAAGAAUCUUCAUAAGCUUCUAAAGGGAGAGCACAUUUUAGGAUUAACAAAUGUUCAUUUUGAGAAAGACAGGAUUUGUAGCGCAUGCCAGGCGGGAAAGCAAGUUGGAGUCCAUCAUCCACACAAGAACAUCAUGACGACCGACAGGCCGCUUGAGCUACUCCACAUGGAUCUAUUCGGCCCGAUUGCUUACAUAAGCAUCGGCGGGAGUAAGUAUUGUCUUGUUAUUGUGGAUGAUUAUUCUCGCUUCACUUGGGUAUUCUUUUUGCAGGAAAAAUCUCAAACCCAAGAGACCUUAAAGGGAUUCUUGAGACGGGCUCAAAAUGAGUUCGGCUUGAGGAUCAAGAAAAUUAGAAGCGACAACGGGACGGAGUUCAAGAACUCUCAAAUUGAAGGCUUCCUUGAGGAGGAGGGCAUCAAGCAUGAGUUCUCUUCUCCCUACACUCCACAACAAAAUGGUGUAGUGGAGAGGAAGAAUCGAACUCUAUUGGACAUGGCAAGAACCAUGCUUGAUGAGUACAAGACACCGGACCGGUUUUGGGCCGAAGCGGUCAACACCGCCUGCUACGCCAUCAACCGGUUAUAUCUUCACCGAAUCCUCAAGAAGACAUCAUAUGAACUCCUAACCGGUAAAAAGCCCAACAUUUCAUAUUUUAGAGUUUUUGGUAGCAAAUGCUUCAUUCUUAUUAAAAGAGGUAGAAAAUCUAAAUUUGCUCCUAAAACUGUAGAAGGCUUUUUACUUGGUUAUGACUCAAACACAAGGGCAUAUAGGGUCUUUAACAAGUCCACUGGACUAGUUGAAGUCUCUUGUGACGUUGUGUUUGAUGAAACUAACGGCUCUCAAGUAGAGCAAGUUGAUCUUGAUGAGAUAGGUGAAGAACAGGCUCCAUGCAUCGCGCUAAGGAACAUGUCCAUCGGGGAUGUGUGUCCUAAGGAAUCCGAAGAGCCUCCAAGUACACAAGAUCAACCAUCCUCCUCCAUGCAAGCAUCUCCACCAACUCAAAAUGAGGAUGAGGCUCAAAAUGAUGAAGAGCAAAAUCAAGAAGACGAGCCACCUCAAGAUGAUAGCAAUGAUCAAGGGGGAGAUACAAAUGAUCAAGAAAAGGAGGAUGAGGAAGAACCAAGACCGCCACACCCAAGAGUCCACCAAGCAAUCCAACGAGAUCACCCCGUCGACACCAUCCUCGGCGACAUUCAUAAGGGGGUAACUACUCGAUCUCGGGUUGCACAUUUUUGUGAACAUUACUCGUUUGUUUCCUCUAUUGAGCCACACAGGGUAGAGGAAGCUCUCCAAGAUUCGGAUUGGGUGGUGGCGAUGCAAGAGGAGCUCAACAAUUUCACGAGGAAUGAGGUCUGGCAUUUAGUUCCACGUCCUAACCAAAAUGUUGUAGGAACCAAAUGGGUCUUCCGCAACAAGCAAGAUGAGCAUGGUGUGGUGACAAGGAACAAAGCUCGACUCGUAGCCAAAGGGUAUUCACAAGUCGAAGGUUUGGAUUUCGGUGAAACCUAUGCACCCGUAGCUAGGCUUGAGUCAAUUCGCAUAUUAUUAGCCUAUGCUACUUACCAUGGCUUCAAGCUUUAUCAAAUGGACGUGAAGAGUGCCUUCCUCAAUGGACCAAUCAAGGAAGAGGUCUAUGUUGAGCAACCUCCCGGCUUUGAAGACAGUGAGUAUCCUAACCAUGUUUAUAGGCUCUCUAAGGCGCUUUAUGGGCUCAAGCAAGCCCCAAGAGCAUGGUAUGAAUGCCUUAGAGAUUUCCUUAUUGCAAAUGGCUUCAAAGUCGGCAAGGCCGAUCCUACACUCUUUACUAAAACUCUUGAAAAUGACUUGUUUGUAUGCCAAAUUUAUGUUGAUGAUAUUAUAUUUGGGUCUACUAACGAGUCUACAUGUGAAGAGUUUAGUAGGAUCAUGACACAGAAAUUCGAGAUGUCAAUGAUGGGGGAGUUGAAGUAUUUUCUAGGAUUCCAAGUCAAGCAACUCCAAGAGGGCACCUUCAUUAGCCAAACGAAGUACACUCAAGACAUUCUUGCUAAGUUUGGGAUGAAGGAUGCCAAACCCAUCAAGACACCCAUGGGAACUAAUGGGCAUCUCGACCUCGACACGGGAGGUAAGUCCGUGGAUCAAAAGGUAUACCGGUCGAUGAUUGGUUCAUUGCUUUAUUUAUGUGCAUCUCGACCGGACAUUAUGCUUUCCGUUUGCAUGUGUGCAAGAUUCCAAUCCGACCCUAAGGAAUCACACCUUACGGCCGUAAAACGAAUCUUGAGAUAUUUGGCUUAUACACCUAAGUUUGGGCUUUGGUACCCUCGGGGAUCCACAUUUGAUUUACUUGGUUAUUCGGAUGCCGAUUGGGCGGGGUGCAAAAUCAAUAGGAAGAGCACAUCGGGGACUUGCCAGUUCUUGGGAAGAUCCUUGGUGUCUUGGGCUUCAAAGAAGCAAAAUUCGGUCGCUCUUUCCACCGCCGAAGCCGAGUACAUUGCCGCAGGACAUUGUUGCGCGCAAUUGCUUUGGAUGAGGCAAACCCUGCGGGACUACGGUUACAAAUUAACCAAAGUCCCUUUGCUAUGUGAUAAUGAGAGUGCAAUUAAGAUGGCCGACAAUCCCGUCGAGCAUAGCCGCACUAAGCACAUAGCCAUUCGGUAUCAUUUUCUUAGGGAUCACCAACAAAAGGGGGAUAUCGAGAUUUCUUACAUUAAUACUAAAGAUCAAUUAGCCGAUAUCUUUACCAAGCCACUUGAUGAACAAUCUUUUACCAGACUUAGGCAUGAGCUCAAUAUUCUUGAUUCUAGAAAUUUCUUUUGCUAAGCUUGCACACAUAGCUCAUUUAAAUACCUUUGAUCAUAUCUCUUUUAUAUGCUAUGACUAAUGUGUUUUCAAGUCUAUUUCAAACGAAGUCAUAGGUAUAUUGAAAGGGAAUUGGAGUCUUCGGCGAAGACAAAGGCUUCCACUCCGUAACUCAUGCUUCGCCAUCACUCCGAGCAACUCUCUAUUCCUUGGGGAGAAAUGAGCAUCAAAGAAAAGGACUUCAUCCUUGGGGGAGAGAGUAAAAGCUCAAAAGCAAAAGGACCGGACUUCAUCUUUGGUAUAAUCUUAACUCGUUACUUAUGACCAAAGGGGAAGAAAUUACUUCGAGGGCUCUAAUGAUUCCGUUUUUGGCGAUUCAUGCCAAAAAGGGGGAGAAAUGAGCCCAAAGCAAAAGGACCGCACCACCACCACCAAAUUUGAAAACUUAGUGCUUUCCAAAAGUCUUUAUCAUUUGGUAUCCUAUUGUGUUCAAAAGGGGGAGAAAGUAGUAUUUCAAAAAUGGUAUAUCAAAACCCUCUUGAACACUAAGAGGUGAAUCUCUUUUAGGGGGAGUUUUGUUUAGUCAAAGGAAAAGCAUUUGAAAUAGGGGGAGAAAAUUUCAAAUCUUGAAAAUGCUUUGCAAACUCUUAUUCAUGUACCUUUGACUAUUUGCAAAAGAUCUUUGAAAUGGAUUUACAAAAAGAAUUUGCAAAAACAAAACAUGUGGUGCAAACGUGGUCCAAAAUGUUACAUAAGAAAGGAACAUUCCAUGCAUAUCUUGUAAGUAGUUAUAUUGGCUCAAUUCCAAGCAACCUUUGCACUUACAUUAUGUAAACUAGUUCAAUUAUGCACUUCUAUAUUUGCUUUGGUUUGUGUUGGCAUCAAUCACCAAAAAGGGGGAGAUUGAAAGGGAAUUAGGCUUACACCUAGUUCCUAAAUAAUUUUGGUGGUUGAAUUGCCCAACACAAAUAUUGGACUGACUAGUUUGCUCUAGUGUAUAAGUUAUACAGGUGCAAAAGGUUCACAUCUAGCCAAUAAAAAGACCAAGUGUUGGAUUCAACAAAGGAGCAAUAAGGCAACCGAGGGCACCUCUGGCUGGAGGCACCGGACUGUCCGGUGUGCACCGGACAGUGUCCGGUGCGCCCGUAGACUUCGUUUUCUACCCUUCGCCAGAGGACUUCGACUUCAACCCUUCGCCCUCGGGAAUUCGCGGAGGCCGGCGCGCUAUAAUUCACCGGACUGUCCGGUGUGCACCGGACAUGUCCGGUGCGCCAACGAACCGCGGCCUCCGGAACUCGUCAUCCUCGGGUUUUCACGACAGCCGCUCCGCUAUAAUUCACCGGACUGUCCGGUGUGCACCGGACUGUCCGGUGUGCCAGCGGAGCAACGGCUCUCUGCGGCGCCAACGGCUCCCUGCGCAGCAUUAAAUGCGCGCGCAGCGCGCGCAGACGUCAGGGCUGCCCAUACCGGUGCACCGGACAUCAAACAGUGCAUGUCCGGUGUGCACCGGACACCUCGGCAGGCCCACAAGUCAGAAGCUCCAACGGCUAGAAUCCAACGGCAGUAAUGACGUGGCAGGGGCACCGGACUGUCCGGUGUGCACCGGACUGUCCGGUGCGCCAUCGAGCAGACGCCUCCAGCCAACGGUCAAGUUUGGUGGUUGGGGCUAUAAAUACCCCAACCACCCCACCAUUCAUUGCAUCCAAGUUUUCCACUUCUCAACUACUACAAGAGCUCUAGGCAUUCAAUUCUAGACACAUUCAAAGAGAUCAAAUCCUCUCCAAUUCCACACAAAACCCUAGUGACUAGAGAGAGUGAUUUGCCGUGUUCAUUUGAGCUCUUGCGCUUGGAUUGCUUCUUUUCUUUCUCACUUGUUCUUGAGAUCACACUCCAUUGUAAUCAAGGCAAGAGGCACCAAUUGUGUGGUGGCCCUUGCGGGGAAGUUUUGUUCCCGGCUUUGAUUUGAGAAGAGAAGCUCACUCGGUCCGAGGGACCGUUUGAGAGAGGGAAGGGUUGAAAGAGACCCGGCCUUUGUGGCCUCCUCAACGGGGAGUAGGUUUGCAAGAACCGAACCUCGGUAAAACAAAUCUCCGUGUCUCAUUUGCUUAUUCGCUUGGGAUUUGUUUUGCGCCCUCUCUUGCGGACUCAUUUAUUAUUACUAACGCUAACCCCGGCUUGUAGUUGUGUUUACAUUUGUAAAUUUCAGUUUCGCCCUAUUCACCCCCCCUCUAGGCGACUAUCAGCUAUAGCCUGAGGCUGUAGCCUGCUGCAGCCUGUGCACUGGAGCAGCAGGGGCGAGAGGGAGGUUGUGCACUGGACUCAGCCUAAGUAAGUGGAGAGAAGGAGAAGGGAAUCACACUUGUAACAGGACUCUAAACUCUACCAGAAAUAAGGUUGUCUCCAGCAAUGUCCUCUAAAUUUCAUCCCCUAAAGGAAUAUUCUCUGUCCUUUAUAGCACUUUUUAAAAGAUUCUGUCCUCUAUAUCUUCUCCAUCUCCAGCAACGUUCCCUAAAUUUGAUCCUCUAUAUCCAAUCCUUUAUUUUAACUAUUUUUUUAGAUUAAAUAAAACUGGGAAACAGUUAUCGCAGUACAAGUGUGGGUCCGUCCAUGUGUGAAGGACACAGUGUGGGUCGUCCUUUCUUUCAUAUUGAUUUACAGGACACAGUGUAUAGCGCAUGUAGACGUGAACUCUAGACAUAGCGUUCGACGAGGGUCCUCUAAAUUUUAGAGACUCAUUUAGCGGGUGUUGUUAGACGCGUUCAGUACGUCUCUGUCCGCUAAAUCAAGGGUACCAGACCCUUUACCGAAUACUGCUGGAGGCAGUCUAAGGCUGUCUCCAGCAACAUCCCCUAAAUUUCAUCCCCUAAAAGAAUAUUUUCUGUCCUUUGCAGUAUUUUCUAAAAGAUUUUGUACUCUAUAUCUUCUUCAUAUCCAGCAAUAUCCCCUAAAUUUCAUCCUCUAUAUCAACAGUGUUACCAGAUUUAACAUUCUAUAUUAUUUUUUACUGCUCGUCAGCACGUGCACAGAAAUCAGCAACAGUGUAUAGAGCACUACCGUACAUCCUUUAUACAUAGCGCAUGCAUGACGUCCUCUAAAUUUUAGAGAACCUUUUAGAGUCUCUUGUUGGAGGGAUAAAGAAUCUGACAAACUUCUAUAUUUAGAGGACACGAGUUUUUACAUAUCGUUUCAUUGUUGGAGAUAGCCUAAGCAUCUCCUGUUCGCGUCCCCUCUCUCUCGUUCAGUUCUUUCUCCCUUCCCAUGUCUUCCUCUGAUUCCCCACGCUAACAAUUGGUAUCAGAUUCGCCGUUCCUUGGCGAUUCUCAAUCUGGAGCACGGCUACUUCACGCGUUCGCAGCGACGCGCGGGUGUGAUGGAUCCCAAUGUCCUGUUCAUCGUUGAUGAGAUGGAGAAGUUUGCAUCUAUGGAUGUCAAGUGGGAGAAGCGCUUGUCGGAGCUGGUGGCAGCUAAGGAGGAGCGCCUGAUCUCCCUCGAGCGCGUCAGCGGGGAGUUGGAAGCAUGGUAGCCCACGGUGGAUGUAGCGAUGGAUGAUACCAAGUUGCAGCUCCGCAAGGUGAAUCUGCAGUUGGAUCAUGCCGUUCUGGAGGCGGCUGGCGGAGAUUCUAGUCUGUUGGGGAAACCGGAUCCAUCCUUCGGCAAAUCGGGGUCGAUCCUGCAUCAGGAGGAUCCGAUCAGUGAGGAUUUCACUCUAGGCGCUCCGAUUCCGGGUACUUCUGGUGCCGCGAAGGGUAUGAAUUCGUUUACCUUGCCUCAUCCGCCCCCAAAGUUUCACGGUUCUCUGUAUGAUGGUCAUCCAUUUCAUCCGAUUGCUCCUGAAUUAUUGGGGAAGUUGCCGAAGCUGCCGUUUCCAGUCUUCGAUGGCGAUAAUCCACGUCUGUGGAUCUCGCGUUGUGAAACAUAUUUUUAACAUGUAUUUUGUUGAUCAUGUGGCUUGGGUGCGUGUGGCUUUUAUGCAUUUGUCACCUGUUGUUGCCUGUUGGUUUCAAUUUGUCUAGCGCAAGUAUAUGGAUGUGUCCUAGCCACUGUUGUGUAAGUUGCUGAAUGAGUGUUUUGGGAGGGAUCAGUAUCAGUUUUUGCUUCGUCAGUUGUUUCGCAUCAGACAGAGUGGCACAGUGGCAGAAUAUAUUGAGCGAUUUUCCACUUUGGUUGAUCAGUUGACAGCUUAUGAAGCAGCGCAUGAUCCUUUGUACUUUACCACACGAUUUGUGGAUGGGCUCCGAGGUGACAUACGUGCCGUUGUGGUGAUUCAUUGACCAACAGAUUUAGACACAGCAUGCACUUUAGCAUUGUUGUAGGAAGAAGUAUCUGAACCAGCCCAUCGGAAAGAGGUGCGCAAGUUUGAGAUGACUCCUUGGAGCAAAACCACAACAUCUGGCCCACUGUCGUUACCGAUGCCACUAGGGGUUGACAAGGGUGUUCGGUCUCCAUCUCAGCUUGAGAAACCUGUGGGGAGACCUCAACGUCCUGCCGAAGAUAAGAUGGGAGCACUUCGAGCUUAUCGUCGUGCUAGGGGUCUGUGUGAUAGGUGUGCCGAGAAGUGUGUCACACCCGGUUUUGGAAGGCAAACCGAAUGUGAAACAUGUACGUGACAGGAUCAGAAACUCACGUACACAGUGAUUAUAUAAUUGGACGUCAUCACACAAUGCUCAAAGUAAAUAGCGGAAGAGUAUUUUAUUACAACAAGAUGUCUGUUGGGGGUAUGCUUCGUAGCCGAAGAUCCUGAAGAAAGAAACACCUUCAGCAGAUCCUCUCAAAAGCAGUGCUGAAGCUAUCACCUAUAAAGCUUUGGCAUAGCGACAUGUCUCAAGACGAAGGAGUGAACCGACUUAAAGAUGAAAUGACCAAUAAACCCAUGAUAGUUUGUGUCAUGACUGUAAUCGAUUGUAAAGGGCUUAAAUGUAAUUUCACACAGGCUACGCCCUGUGCUUAUAAAUAGAUGAACAGUACACCCGUACUGUUCACGCAAUCUUGUAAUCACUUGCACGCGACAUUUGAAUUAUUGUCUUCUGUCAAGACGAAAGUAUAAAUGCGAUUAAAUGUUAUGUUUUAAUAUUUAAGCUUGUAUAAUGAAAUAUAUGAAUAAGUUUAUGUGUUUUGAUAUAUUAUUCCUUCAUGUUUUAUAUUUUAUAUUUUAUAUUUUAUAUUUUAUAUUUCAUCUUUCAUUAUUUCAUUAUUUCACAACUUUAUUCACGAAGGUAUGACCUUCGUGAUUUUUGCUCAUGACCUUCGUCCGAAGUUCAUUGUACCCUUUGGGAGAUAAUGCUUCAAUGGACGAAGAGCAUUAACAUUUAACAUUUUAUGUUGCCUUGUUCUUAAUUCAAAGCAUUUGAUAACAAGUCCCCAACAAUGUCCAAGAUAUACACUGAGUCUAUAACAUAGUCAUUAACAUUAAUAUCAUCAAAAUGCGGAAAACGAAACGUAGAAGAUAAGGCCUUCACAGGCAGCUGACUAGGGGUUUGCCACUAAGAUAAACUAGAACUCAUCGUAGUCCUAAAACUCCUCAAAAUCCUCCAUGUUGCCAGCAUCUUCUCCUGAGCACUGAGUACAGUGGGGACAAUCUAGGGUGGGGUGGUUUGUAAAGCAAGGGUGAGUACACAUCAACGUACUCAGCAAAUGUCCUGUUUGGCUAAAGUGGACUAGCUGUAUGUGGAGUUAAGGCUAAACAGUUACUUUUAGUUGGUCAAGUAUUUAUUACUAUUAGUAGAGUCAAAUUUUAGUAAUAAACCAAGUUAUUACCCAAAUGUACUCCCUCUAAGAGGAAAUACUAGAGAUCCUAAUUACACCAUCAUCAUUAACCAUCAACAUAAAAGUAACUAAAAUUCUUCUAAUCAAAGAGGAUCCCAAGGCCGCUCUUAACAGUGAGCACGGCUGAUAUAUCAGUUUCUAACACUCUGCAGAGGUCGCACACUUUACCCACAAGCCAUGAUUCCCAUUCUGCCCGGAAAGAGCCAAUCUCCAUUGACCACUACCUAGGUGGCCUGGCAGGGUAUCACUAUGUAGCCUUUACAAAGAUUUCCCAGAGGUCAUAGCCGCCCGUUAGGUUUCUCCGGUUUGAUAAACACAGUACAUCUCCCCAAAGGAAGGGUGACUAACAAAACCAAAUCAAGAACCUCUGCAUCCAGCCUCGGCAGAGCAAGUACUGUGCUCGAACCCCAUUGACGACCCUACGAUGAAGCCAACUACUCCUCUGGUUCCUCUAAUUAAUCAGCUAAUGGCGUCCCAUUCCACCCCCGUGGAUGCACUGUUAUCCCGGGUUGUCACUCCCUGUCGGCGUUUCGAGACCGGGGGGUCCCUAAGCCGACGAGUGAGUGUGCCGCGUGCCCCAGCCCAGAUGGGUCGAGCGCGUGGGCGAGCGCGAAGGGGGGAAGGCGAGGUGGCCGGAGACGGGCGUGAGAGAGGUGGAAAUCCCGCGACCUUCGUGUUCGUCCCGCGCUCAGGUCGGGUGCGCUUGUAGUAGGGGGGUUACAAGCGUCCACGCGGGUGAGGGAAGCGAGCGGCCCCAAGAGAGCGCCUGUCCCAUCCUCGCUCCCGCGCGGCCAACCUUCUCUAAGAAGGCCUUGGUCCUUCCUUUUAUAGUCGUAAGGAGAGGAUCCAGGUGUACAAUGGGGGUGUAGUAGAGUGCUACGUGUCUAGCGGAGGGAGAGCUAGCGCCCUAAGUACAUGCCAAUGUGGCAGCCGGAGAGAUCUUGGCACCCUGCUGGUGUGAUGUCGUGGCUGUCGGAGGAGCAACGGAGCUUGGCGGAGGGACAGCUGUCGGAGCGGUCGAGUCUUUGCUGACGUCCCCCUGCUUCCGUAAGGGAGCUGAGAGCCGCCGUCGUCACAGGGCACGCGGGGCGCCAUCAUUGCCUAUCUGACGGAGCUAGCCAGAUGGGACACCGGUCUUGUUCUCUGCGGCCCGAGUCGGCUCAGGGUAGAGUGAUGAUGGCGCUCCCUGUUGACGUGGCGGGCCUGUGCCCUAGGUCGGGCGACGUGGGGGCUCCUCCGAAGCUGGGGUCGAGUCUGUCUUCCGUUGCCGAGGCCGAGCCCGAGCCCCUGGGCCGGGCGAGGCGGAGGUCGUUCGGCAGAGGCCAGGGCGGAGUCCGAGCCCUGGGGUCGGGCGAAGCGGAGUUCGUCGUCUUCCGGGUCUUAGCCCGAGUCCGAGCCCUGGGGUCGGGCGUAGCGGAGUUCGCCGUCUUCCGGGUCUUAGCCCGAGUCCGAGCCCUGGGGUCGGGCGGAGCGGAGUUCGCCGUCUUCCGGGUCUUAGCCCGAGUCCGAGCCCUGGGGUCGGGCGGAGCGGAGUUCACCGUCUUCCGGGUCUUAGCCCGAGUCCGAGCCCUGGGGUCGGGCGGAGCGGAGUUCGCCGUCUUCCGGGUCUUAGCCCGAGUCCGAGCCCUGGGUCGGGCGGAGCGGAGUUUCCUAUGGCGCCUUUGGCAGGGCCUGACUGCCUGUCAGUCUCACUCUGUCAAGUGGCACUGCAGUCGGAGUGGCGCAGGCGGCGCUGUCCUUCUGUCAGACCGGUCAGUGGUGCGGCGAAGUGACGGCGGUCACUUCGGCUCUGCCGGGGGGCGCGCGUCAGGAUAAAGGUGUCAGACCACCUUUGCGUUAAAUGCUCCUACAACUCGGUCGGUCGGUGCGGCGAUUUAGUCAGGGUUGCUUCUUAGCGAAGGCAAGGCCUCGGGCGAGCCGGAGAUGUGCCCGCCGUUAAAGGGGGGCCUCGGGCGAGACGGAAAUCCCUCGGGGUCGGCUGCCCUUGUCCGAGGCUAGGCUCGGACGUGGCGUGAUCGAGUCGCUCGUAUGGACCGAUCCCUGACUUAAUCGCACCCAUCAGGCCUCUGCAGCUUUAUGCUGAUGGGGGUUACCAGCUGAGAAUUAGGCGUCUUGAGGGUACCCCUAAUUAUGGUCCCCGACAGUAGCCCCCGAGCCUCGAAGGGAGUGUUAGCACUCGCUUGGAGGCUUUCGUCGCACUUUUUUGCAAGGGGACCAGCCUUUCUCGGUUGCAUUUUGUUCCGGUGGGUGUAGCCCCCGAGGCCUCGGAGGAGUGGUUUCACUCCUUCGAGGUCUUAAUGCCUUGCGUAAUGCUUCGGCUGGUCUGGUUGUUCCCUCAUGCGAACUGGCCGUAGCCCGGGUGCACGGUCGGGGCCCAAGCUCUCGGGCUGGUAUGUUGACGCCGUCAACGGUUCGGCCGGAGCCGGGUUUACGAGAGCAGCCCCCGAGCCUCCGCACAGGGCGAGAGGGCGAUCAGGGACAGACUCGGCUUUUUUACAUACGCCCCUACGUCGCCUUUCCGCAAGGAGGAGGGGGGAGUGCGCCAUGUUACCCUCGAUGGGCACCGAACAUGGUGUCUCCGGUGAGCUGCAAGCGGGUAAUCCGAGUGGACGCCCAUGCCCCGUUCGUUGGGGGUCGGCUAGGGGCCCAGAGGCACGCCCAAAAGUACCUGCGGGUGAUCUGCCGGACCCGGUCCCCUGGCGACGGGGUCCGAGGGCUCGAUGCCUCCCUCCGAUGGGAUUCCGUUACAAGAUCGCUCCCGCUGGUCUCGGAAAUGUCCUAGGGUACCUCGGGAGCGCAGCCCGAGCCUUGGUUAUGUAUCGAACGUACCCCUGGUCAUCCCUCGCUCGGCGUCUGAGGCGACUGUGAACCCUUCGGGGGCCAGCCUUCGAACCCCUGAUCAGUAAUGGGCGCGGAGCCCGAGUAGCCUGAGGCGGCCGUGGAGCCCUUCGGGGGGCCGGCCUUCGAACCUCUGAUCAGUAAGGGGGGCUCGGAGCCCGGUUCCUUCACAGGGAAGGAUCCUUUUCGGGGUAUCCCCCUUUCCCGGUCCCUGUUGCAAGAGAUAGAGAAAGAGGAAAAAAGGAAAAGGACACGAAAUCGAACGACGUGGCGUACCUUUUUUGGCGCGGUUAUUACGGCGAAGGCGAAGCGUCGCCCGCUUCUCCUGCCAGAAACACCGCCUGUCCCGCCGCGGAGUUAAUGCGACGGGGCGAGUGGUUGGCGGGGCGGCCGUUGCGCGUGCGUGAGCCGUUCGAGGGACGGAUCACGGGUGCGCCGUCUUCACGCCGUGAGAGGAGGCUCUCUUGCUGCCCCUGGAUGGGACGUGAGCCUGGCUGACGACGUGACCGCUGCUCCCGCCCGCCUGCCACCGUCAUUACUGCCGGCCCACUUUCGGCUGCAUUGACCGUCGCGCCAGGCUGGCGCCGCUAGGUCGUGCGCCGGGUCGCCUCGAGUCGCGGCAUUGGUUCCGCAACCGAAGAGGCGCGACGGUGGCGCAAGUGGCGGUGCAGUUGCCUGCAUGCAGCAUCCGGCGCGCCGGUUGCGCGACGCGUGGGCCUGGACCUUCGUGCUGGCGCGCUGGGAGUCGGAGAAGCGUGUCCACUUGGCGCGGUUGCAUGCCGCCUGCAUGGCUGCCCCCUCCUUCCGCCCGUUGGUCUGGGCAAAAGUGGGGGGUCGCUUGUAACCGCUGGGCGGUUGUGUGCACCACGCGCGGCGCUUUGGCUUCUUCUGCUCUGAGCCGGUUUGCAUGACAUGCGGGACCCAGCCCCCGCGCCGCAGGGGAGGGCCUUGGAGCGCGUUGGAGAAGACUCAGCCCGUGGCGUUUGGGGGCGCACGUAGGGAGAGUUGCCUUUAAAAGGAGGGCGACCCCUUUCGGAAGGCAACCAUGUCUUCUUCCUCCCUUAUGUGUCGCGUCUUUCCACCUUCCAAGCCCCCGGAUGGGGGGUAUCCGCCGUCUUUUCGCCUCAUCGUUGGAGGAACGCAACUCCGCGGGAGUUGGUACCUUUCAGCCAUCGUUCGGCUUCGAGGAUUUUCACCAUGCAGCCCAGUCGCUCCCCCCCGCUGGUGGUCACCCAAGAUGGUGACCGCCAGUUCCUGGGUGGGGAGAAGCAAGCCGGGCUGCGAUCUUGGUCCCACCCUCAGCUUCAAGGAUGUUCAUCAUCCUCGCUGGGGUGGGGGCCAGGCUGAGCCGGCGCUCUACCUCCCACGCGGGUUCGCGGGUCACCCCUUCCCGCGGCGUUCGAGGGAGAGGGCGCUCACUGGCCCUGCGGGCGGCCCGGACUUCGACAACGCGGGGCUGGUCGACGGCGGGCGUCGUCACCUCUAGCGUGUCGGGCCCGUCGGCUUGGCUCCCGGCGGCCCCUCCUGUCGGAGGGCGGCUGCCGCGCUAUGUGCAUGGGAGGACCACCCAAGAUGCCGCGCGCUGCUAGGGCGGCGUUCGUGUUCUGGGGUGGUCCUGCCUUUGCACCGGGAUGGCGCUCUCACGCGGAGGUCGGUGCCCCACUCGCCCGGGAGGAUUUGAGUGGGGAUCUGCUGGGGAGCCGGUGGGCCCUGCCGUCGGUGCCGAGGCGGAGGCGGCUCGAGAAGUCCCCGUCACCGACGGGGUCACCGCCACCAUCCGCGCCUCUGGCCUCCGGCUCUUCGCACUUGUCCUCGCCCCUCGAGCGUCGGUGUGGGCGAGGGCAAGAUUGCAACAGCGCCCACCCUGAGGCCUGCGCUGCUGCAGCUCGACCAUCCGGAGCGGGGGUCAUUGUCGUCGUAGUCAGAGCGGGCGGCGGCGAGCCGCUCGUCGGUCUUCUGUUGCUCCGCAGGCCCACCCCCAUGGAGUGGGGUUGUUCGUACCUACGGAGGGGGAACCGGAGUUCCGUGUGUGAUGGCACCUUGGAUGCCAGUGUGUUUGUUCAUUGUGGCUGUCGAGGCCUGAACAUGAAUGUAAUUUCGGCACGGAGCCGUGUUUUUUCCUCAUUUUCGAGCACUAAGUCUCGCCUGUUGAUUGUCUGAACCGCUUCACCGAGCAUGAGUCGCCCCGUGUCAAGGUGACGAGUGAGGUAUCCGUAUCCCGGAGGCGUAGGAGUCCCUCAGCUCGAUCGGCCUUGUUGUCUGAGGCUCCUCUAGCUUAGUUAAAAAGACCCCUCGGCCGCUCUUCGAUGAGCCGAGGCCAGGGGUAGCGAUAUCAGCACGAACAGAGGCGGAGUUGGCUCGAAAGUGGGAACCUGGUUGGCCGGAGCCUAGCCGGGUUGUCCGUCGGCGGGACCGACGCCGGAGUUGACCAGCCGAGGCCUCGGGUCGGGCUGGCGCCCUUGGAAGAUGGUUGGCCGAGGCCCCUGAGGCAAUCGGCCGAGCCGCCUGCUCGGGCCGGAUUCCCGGAGAAGUCCCUGGACCGCGUCGUCGUCCGAGGCUGGGUCGGUCCUUGCUGGAGGUGUCGUCGAUGCCGAGGGCGUUACAGCCCUCUUCCAGCGUGAAGGCCCGAGCCUGCAGGAUCAGAUUGUCUUGUAGCGUGUGCCUUCUGCGGCCGCUGAGGCCAGAAAACACACCCUCGCUGCGCUGUAAAGCUGCGUCUCCUUUCCUCUUAUUUCAAGCAUCUGGACUUUUUGUCGGUAACAGGGAUAUUUGUCCGAGCGAGAGUUGCUUCUCGCGGAAGGUGAUGAGUGAGGUAUCCGUAUCCCGGAGGCGUGGGAAUCCCUCGGCUCGGUCGGCCUUGCCGCUUACGCGUACUUUCACCCGUCCAUGAGGCCCUGUCACCGAUUCGGUCGAGAAGGCUUGAAGGAUCGCUUCGGCAGAAGAGCUUCCGAACGUAAAGACUUGCUCGGUCCGCGGAAUCACUUUAUCCGAACGCGAGUUACUUAUCGCAGAAGGUGAUGAGUGAGGUAUCCGUAUCCCAGAGGCGUAGGAGUCCCUCGGCUCGGUCAGCCUUGGCUGCUUACGUGUACUCCGUCGUUUCCAGGAUCCGCUUUUCGAAGUAGUCAAAAAGCACGAAAGAAAUUCUGCUAAAAGGAGAUCUUUUUUCGAGGAAAAUUUCGACGCAGAGGGGGUCUCCCCCCUUUUAGCCCCCGAGGGAGGGUCGGGCUUUGCCGAGGCGAGGCCGACCCUUCCUUGAUGACUAAACUUUUGCGUGGGUGCGAGGUAUAUGAAUAACUUGAAAACAUCUUAAGGGUAGAAGCGACGUAGCUGUUUGAUGUUCCAAGCGUUGCCGUAGACCUCGCCUUGAUUGUUGGCCAGCUUGUAUGUUCCGGGCUUCAGAACUUUGGCGAUGACGAAUGGCCCCUCCCAGGGGGGCGUGAGCUUGUGCCUCCCUCGGGCGUCUUGCCGCAGCCGAAGCACCAGGUCGCCCACCUGGAGGUCUCGAGACCGGACCCCUCGGGUGUGGUAGCGUCGCAGGGACUGCUGGUACCGCGCCGAGUGUAGUAGGGCCUUGUCCCGAGCCUCUUCCAGCUGGUCCAGUGAGUCUUCUUGGCUAGCUUGGUUGCUUUGAUCGUUGUAGGCCCUCGUCCUUGGGGAGCCGUAUUCCAGGUCAGUGGGCAAGAUGGCCUCGGCCCCGUAGACCAGGAAGAACGACGUGAAACCCGUGGCUCGGCUUGGCGUUGUCCUCAGGCUCCAGAUCACCGAGGGGAGUUCCUUCAUCCAUCGCUUGCCGAACUUGUUGAGGUCGUUGUAAAUCCGGGGCUUAAGCCCUUGUAGAAUCAUGCCGUUGGCACGCUCUACUUGCCCAUUCGACAUGGGAUGAGCCACGGCGGCCCAGUCCACCCGGAUGUGGUGAUCCUCGCAAAAAUUCAAGAAUUUUUUGCCGGUGAACUGGGUACCGUUGUCAGUAAUGAUGGAGUUUGGGACCCCGAAGCGAUGGAUGAUGUUGGUGAAGAACGCCACCGCCUGCUCGGACCUGAUGCUGUUCAGGGGUCGGACCUCGAUCCACUUGGAGAAUUUGUCGAUGGCGACCAGCAGGUGCGUGUAGCCCCCGGGCGCCUUCUGCAAGGGACCGACGAGGUCCAGACCCCAUACAGCAAAGGGCCAGGUGAUGGGUAUCGUCUGCAGAGCCUGAGCGGGCAGGUGGGUCUGCUUCGCAUAGAAUUGGCACCCUUCGCAGGUGCGGACAAUUCUAGUGGCGUCAGCCACCGCCGUUGGCCAGUAGAAGCCUUGCCGGAAAGCAUUUUCGACAAGGGCUCGAGGCGCUGCAUGAUGGCCGCAGGCCCCCGAGUGUAUUUCUUGCAGGAGUUCCUGACCUUCGGCGAUGGAGAUGCAUCGCUGGAGGAUGCCCGAGGGGCUGCGGUGGUAGAGCUCCUCCUCAUCGCCCAACAAGACGAACGACUUGGCGCGUCGCGCUACCCGCCGAGCCUCGGCUUGGUCGAGGGGUAGCUCUCCUCGGCGAAGAUAUUGCAGGUACGGGGUCUGCCAAUUUCGAUCGGGCGUGGCCCCGCUCUGCUCCUCCUCGACGUGCAGUGCCUCGCCCUCGGGGGCCGAGGGUACCUCGGGCUGAACCGAGGACGCCUCGGGCUGAGCCGAGGGUGCCUCGGGCUGUGCCGAGGGUGCCUCGGGCUCGGGCGUGUCGUCGAUCUUGACGGAGGGUUGAUGCAGAUCCCGGGAGAAGACGUCCGGGGGAACCGUUGUUCGCCCCGAGGCUAUUUUAGCCAGCUCGUCCGCAGUCUCGUUGUAGCGCCGAGCGAUGUGGUUAAGCUCGAGCCCGUAGAACUUGUCUUCCAGGCGCCGAACCUCAUCGCAGUAGGCCUCCAUCUUCGGGUCGCGGCAGUGGGAGUUCUUCAUGACUUGGUCGAUGACGAGCUGCGAGUCACCGCGGGCGUCGAGGCGUCUGACCCCUAGCUCGAUGGCGAUCCGCAACCCGUUGACCAGAGCCUCGUACUCAGCCACAUUGUUGGACGCCGGGAAAUGGAGGCGUAGCACGUAGCGUAGGUGCCUCCCGAGGGGCGAGAUGAAGAGCAGGCCCGCGCCGGCUCCCGUCUUCAUCAGCGACCCGUCGAAAAACAUGGUCCAUAGCUCCGGUUGGAUCGGAGCCGUCGGCAGCUGGGUGUCGACCCAUUCAGCUACGAAGUCCGCCAACACCUGGGACUUGAUGGCCUUUCGAGGGGCGAACGAGAUCGUUUCGCCCAUGAUUUCCACCGCCCACUUUGCGAUUCUGCCCGAGGCCUCUCGGCACUGGAUGAUCUCCCCCAGGGGGAAGGAUGACACCACAGUUACCAGAUGAGACUCGAAGUAAUGUCGCAACUUUCGCCUCGUCAGGAUCACUGCAUACAACAGCUUCUGAACUUGUGGGUAGCGGAUCUUGGUCUCGGACAGUACCUCGCUGACGAAGUAGACUGGCCUCUGAACGGGCAAUGCAUGCCCUUCUUCUUGCCUCUCGACCACAAUCGCGGCGCUAACCACCUGAGUGGUCGCGGCGACGUAGACCAAGAGGGCUUCUCCAUCAGCUGGGGGCACCAAGAUAGGCGCCUUUGUAAGGAGCGCCUUCAGGUUCCCGAGAGCUUCCUCGGCCUCAGGGGUCCAGGCGAAACACUCGGUCUUCCUUAAGAGGCGGUACAAAGGCAGACCUCUUUCGCCGAGGCGUGAAAUGAAGCGGCUCAGGGCCGCGAGACAUCCCAUGACCCUCUGUACGCCUUUUAAGUCCUUGAUGGGCCCCAUGCUGGUGAUGGCUGCGAUCUUCUCCGGGUUGGCUUCGAUGCCUCGCUCGGAGACGAUGAACCCCAGGAGCAUGCCCCGGGGCACCCCGAAGACACACUUCUCGGGAUUGAGCUUGACUCCUUUCGCCUUGAGACAUCGGAAUGUCACUUCAAGGUCGGAGAGGAGGUCGGAAGCCUUCCUUGUCUUGACUACGAUGUCAUCGACGUAGGCCUCGACUGUGCGACCGAUGUGUUCGCCGAACACAUGGUUCAUGCACCGCUGGUACGUCGCGCCCACAUUCCUCAAACCGAACGGCAUGGUGACGUAGCAGUACAUGCCGAAGGGCGUGAUGAAAGAAGUCGCGAGCUGGUCGGACUCUUUCAUCCGGAUUUGGUGAUACCCUGAGUAGGCAUCGAGGAAGGACAGGGUUUCGCACCCAACAGUGGAAUCCACGAUUUGAUCGAUGCGAGGUAGAGGGUAGGGAACCUUCGGACAUGCUUUGUUGAGACCAGUGUAGUCUACGCACAUCCGCCAUUUCCCCCCUCUCUUCCUCACAAGCACAGGGUUGGCAAGCCAUUCGGGAUGGAAUACCUCUUUGAUGAACCCUGCUGCCAUUAGCUUGUGGAUCUCUUCGCCUAUCACUCUGCGCUUCUCCUCGUCGAAUCGGCACAGAGGCUGCCUGACGGGUCGGGCUCCGGCCCGAAUAUCCAGUGAGUGCUCGGCGACAUCCCUCGGUAUGCCGGGCAUGUCUGAGGGACUCCACGCAAAGACGUCGGCGUUUGCGCGGAGAAAGUCGACGAGCACUGCUUCCUAUUUGGGGUCGAGCCCGGAACCGAUCCAGAUCUGCUUGGAGGUGUCGCCACUGGGGUCGAGGGGGACGGCCUUAACCGUCUCCGCUGGCUCGAAGUUGCCUGCAUGACGCUUCACGUCUGGCACCUCUUUGGAGAGGUUCUCCAGGUCGGCGGUGAGGGCCUCGGAUUCGGCGAGGGCCUCGGCGUACUCCACGCACUCCACGUCGCAUUCGAACGCGUGUUUGUACGUGGGGCCGACGGUGAUGACCCCGUUGGGGCCCGGCAUCUUGAGCUUCAGGUAGGUGUAGUUGGGGACGGCCAUGAACUUCGCGUAGCAUGGCCUUCCCAGUACCGCGUGGUAGGUUCCUCGGAACCCGACCACCUCGAACGUCAAGGUCUCCCUUCGGAAGUUGGAGGGCGUUUCGAAGCAGACGGGAAGGUCGAGUCGUCCGAGGGGCUGGACGCGAUUCCCAGGGAUGAUCCCGUGGAAGGGCGCAGCGCCUGCUCGGACGGAGGACAGAUCGACGCGCAGGAGCCUGAGGGUCUCGGCGUAGAUGAUGUUGAGGCAGCUGCCUCCGUCCAUCAGGACCUUGGUGAGCCUGACGUCGCCGACGAUGGGGUCGACGACGAGCGGGUAUUUCCCCGGGCUCGGCACGUGAUCGGGGUGGUCAGCUUGGUCGAAGGUGAUGGGCUUGUCGGACCAGUCUAGGUAGACUGGCGCCGCCACCUUCACCGAGUAGACCUCCCGGCGCUCUUGCUUGCGAUGCCGAGCCGAGGCAUUCGCCGCAUGCCCACCGUAGAUCAUGAAGCAGUCGCGGACCUCGGGGUACUCUCCUGCUUGGUGAUCUUCCUUUUUGUCGUCGUCGUGGGACCUGCCACCCUCUGCGGGUGGCCCGACCCUGUGGAAGUGGCGCCGAAGCAUGACGCACUCCUCGAGGGUGUGCUUGACGGGCCCCUGAUGAUAGGGGCACGACUCCUUGAGCAUCUUGUCGAAGAGGUUAGCACCUCCGGGGGGCUUCCGAGGGUUCUUGAACUCGGCGGCGGCGACAAGGUCCGUGUCGGCGGCGUCGCGUUUCGAUUGCGACUUCUUCUUGCCUUUCUUCUUGGCGCCGCGCGGAGUAGACGCCUCGGGAGCCUCUUCCGAUGGGCGGCCCUGGGGCUGCUUGUCCUUUCGGAAGAUAGCCUCGACCGCCUCCUGGCCAGAGGCGAACUUGGUGGCGAUGUCCAUCAGCUCGCUCGCCCUGGUGGGGGUCUUGCGACCCAACUUACUCACCAGGUCAUGGCAGGUGGUGCCGGCAAGGAACGCGCCGAUGACAUCCGAGUCGGUGAUGUUGGGCAGCUCGGUGCGCUGCUUCGAGAAUCGCCGGAUGUAGUCCCGGAGCGACUCUCCCGGCUAUUGCCGGCAGCUCCGGAGGUCCCAGAAAUUCCCGGGGCGCACGUACGUGCCCUGGAAAUUGCCGGCGAAGGCUUGGACCAAAUCAUCCCAGUUGGAGAUCUGCUCCGGAGGCAGGUGCUCCAACCAGGCGCGAGCGGUGUCGGAGAGGAACAGGGGGAGGUUACGGAUGAUGAGGUUGUCGUCGUCCGUUCCACCCAGCUGGCAGGCCAGGCGGUAGUCCGCGAGCCACAAUUCCGGUCUUGUUUCCCCCGAGUACUUUGUGAUAGUAGUCGGGGGUCGGAACCGGGUCGGGAACGGCGCCCGUCGGAUGGCCCGACUGAAGGCCUGCGGACCGGGUGGUUCGGGCGAGGGACUCCGAUCCUCCCCGCUGUCGUAGCGUCCCCCACGCCUGGGGUGGUAGCCUCGGCGCACCCUUUCGUCGAGGUGAGCCCGACGGUCGCGAUGGUGGUGCUCGUUGCCGAGGUGGCCCGGGGCCGCAGGCGCGGUGUUGCGCGUGCGCCCGGUGUAGACCGAGGCUUCCCGCAUGAAUCGGGAAGUCGCGGCAUGAGGUUCCGAGGGGUACCCCUGCCUUCGGGAGGCAGAGCUCUCGGUCCGUCGGGCCGCAGCGCCUUCCAGGAGAUCCUUGAGCUCUCCCUGGAUUCGCCGACCCUCGGUGGUUGAUGGCUCCGGCAUCGUGCGGAGGAGCAUCGCUGCGGCUGCCAGGUUCUGACCGACCCCGCUGGAUGCGGGCGGCGGCCUGACCCUGACGUCGUUGGCGACGCGGUGCUGGAAACCUUGGGGCAGGUGACGUAUUUCUCCGGCCGGGGGUUGGCCCGCCCAUACCUGCCCGACGUCCCGACGGAUCGGCUCAAGCGCUCCUGCUCCCUCGUCGAGCCUGGCCUGCGCCCCGCGGACUUGCUCAAGCUGUGGGUCGUGACCCCCCGCUGGAACGGGGACCACAGCUAGCUCCCGCGGGAUGUCAGCGCGAGGCACCGGCCUAGGAAGAUCACCGUCCUCCGGCAUGCCGAGAUGGUUGCCUUCGGAGGGAUCCCCUAGCUCGACGUGGAAACAUUCACGGCUUGGGCCGCAGUCCUCGUCGUCAAGGCUGCGGCUACCGUCGGAACAGUCGGAGAGACAGUAGUCACACGCGGUCAUAAAGUCCCGCAUGGCACUAGGGUUGCCAAGUCCGGAGAAAUCCCAACAGAUGCUGGGAUCGUCAUCUUCCUCGGACCAAGAGGGCCCGUAGGUCGAGACGUCCGUCAAUCGGUCCCAAGGCGACCACACACGAAACCCCAGUGGGGUUGCACUCGCCUCAACGAGAGUGCCCGCCAAAGCGAGGUCGCUAGGCGGGUUGAGGCCGAGUCGAAAUGACGUAGGAUGGGAAUUAGUCUGUACCUUUUGGUCGACGAGGAGCGACGUAGUCACAUCGGGGACUGGUUGCACCGUCGUCUCAGGUACGAGGGCGACGUCUUGCAAGCUUUCCGCGAGCGCGCUGGCGUCGUCUUCUUGCUCGGGAUCGGUGUGUCGCGGGGGGACGGCGCUUGCCUUCGUCUCGAACGCGAGGUCGACACCCAGCGUGCUUUUUGUUGGGGCGUCGGGGACGUCGAUUCGCUCGACGGCCGACGAAGCGCGGCCUCCCGCUUGGCCUUGGUUGCCCCGCGUCCUCCUCCGUUGGCGGGGGAGAGGACGGGGCGAGCUCGAAUGUUGUUCUUCCACCACGCGGGGAAGAUGUCGUCGGUUCCGCCGCCGGCGGGCGGGUUGUCGGCCGCCAUUGUCGUUGUCGCGCGGCGGUGGAAGGAGUAUCAUGUCGUAGCUGCCGUCGAAGGACAUGAACUCAAGACUCCCGAAACGGAGCACCGUCCCGGGCCGGAGAGGUUGCUGGAGACUGCCCAUCUGGAGCUUGAUGGGAAGCUGUUCGUCAACACGCAGCAGGCCCCUACCUGGCGCGCCAACUGUCGGCGUUUCGAGACCGGGGGGUCCCUAAGCCGACGAGUGAGUGUGCCGCGUGCCCCAGCCCAGAUGGGUCGAGCGCGUGGGCGAGCGCGAAGGGGGGAAGGCGAGGUGGCCGGAGACGGGCGUGAGAGAGGUGGAAAUCCCGCGGCCUUCGUGUUCGUCCCGCGCCCAGGUCGGGUGCGCUUGCAGUAGGGGGGUUACAAGCGUCCACGCGGGUGAGGGAAGCGAGCGGCCCCAAGAGAGCGCCUGUCCCGUCCUCGCUCCCGCGUGGCCAACCUUCUCUAAGAAGGCCCUGGUCCUUCCUUUUAUAGUCAUAAGGAGAGGAUCCAGGUGUACAAUGGGGGUGUAGCAGAGUGCUACGUGUCUAGCGGAGGGAGAGCUAGCGCCCUAAGUACAUGCCAAUGUGGAAGCCGGAGAGAUCUUGGCACCCUGCUGGUGUGAUGUCGUGGCUGUCGGAGGAGCAACGAAGCUUGGCGGAGGGAUAGCUGUCGGAGCGAUCGAGUCUUUGCUGACGUCCCCCUGCUUCCGUAAGGGAGCUGAGAGCCGCCGUCGUCACAGGGCACGCGGGGCGCCAUCAUUGCCUAUCUGGCGGAGCUAGCCAGAUGGGACACCGGUCUUGUUCUCUGCGGCCCGAGUCGGCUCGGGGUAGAGUGAUUAUGGCGCUCCCUGUUGACGUGGCGGGCCUGUGCCCUAGGUCGGGCGACGUGGGGGCUCCUCCGAAGCUGGGGUCGAGUCUGUCUUCCGUUGCCGAGGCCGAGCCCGAGCCCCUGGGCCGGGCGAGGCGGAGGUCGUUCGGCAGAGGCCAGGGCGGAGUCCGAGCCCUGGGGUCGGGCGAAGCGGAGUUCGUCGUCUUCCGGGUCUUAGCCCGAGUCCGAGCCCUGGGGUCGGGCGGAGCGGAGUUCACCGUCUUCCGGGUCUUAGCCCGAGUCCGAGCCCUGGGGUCGGGCGGAGCGGAGUUCGCCGUCUUCCGGGUCUUAGCCCGAGUCCGAGCCCUGGGGUCGGGCGGAGCGGAGUUCGCCGUCUUCCGGGUCUUAGCCCGAGUCCGAGCCCUAGGGUCGGGCGGAGCGGAGUUCGCCGUCUUCCGGGUCUUAGCCCGAGUCCGAGCCCUGGGGUCGGGCGGAGCGGAGUUCGCCGUCUUCCGGGUCUUAGCCCGAGUCCGAGCCCUGGGGUCGGGCGGAGCGGAGUUCACCGUCUUCCGGGUCUUAGCCCGAGUCCGAGCCCUGGGGUCGGGCGGAGCGGAGUUCGCCGUCUUCCGGGUCUUAGCCCGAGUCCGAGCCCUGGGUCGGGCGGAGCGGAGUUUCCUAUGGCGCCUUUGGCAGGGCCUGACUGCCUGUCAGUCUCACUCUGUCAAGUGGCACUGCAGUCGGAGUGGCGCAGGCGGCGCUGUCCUUCUGUCAGACCGGUCAGUGGUGCGGCGAAGUGACGGCGGUCACUUCGGCUCUGCCGGGGGGCGCGCGUCAGGAUAAAGGUGUCAGGCCACCUUUGCAUUAAAUGCUCCUGCAACUCGGUUGGUCGGUGCGGCGAUUUAGUCAGGGUUGCUUCUUAGCGAAGGCAAGGCCUCGGGCGAGCCGGAGAUGUGCUCGCCGUUAAAGGGGGGCCUCGGGCGAGACAGAAAUCCCUCGGGGUCGGCUGCCCUUGUCCGAGGCUAGGCUCGGACGUGGCGUGAUCGAGUCGCUCGUAUGGACCGAUCCCUGACUUAAUCGCACCCAUCAGGCCUCUGCAGCUUUAUGCUGAUGGGGGUUACCAGCUGAGAAUUAGGCGUCUUGAGGGUACCCCUAAUUAUGGUCCCCGACACUCCCCAAACAGGUCCUUAUGGAAAGGUACUCAAGAAAAUGGCCUGAGUCCCCUAAAGUAUCACAAUAUCAUCAUCGGGAUAACAUCAUCGUAUCAUAAAUGUUCACAUCAUGUUCAUUGAUUAAAGUAAAGCAAUAACAUGAAGCUAACCAUAGUAACCCUAAAGGUAAACAAGGAAAAGGUAAAUACAGACUAGUCAAUCCUUAAGUUUCAAUAAUGUAAUGCGGCCAUGCGGGAUGGUGAAUUAUAAAGUAGAUAGGACAUAAUAGUUCAAACGACACUUGCCUUCACCAGGUUGUUGCUUAGGAAGAUCUUCGGCAACACACUCAGGAACCACGGGUUGCUCGUUGUCUAAAUAAAGCGAUUAUACAUUCAAUACAUUUGGAAAGUGCAAAUGAACAGCACACCAAACAUGUACAAUCAAGUGAACAGAAGUUUGAUAAGACACUAUGAACAUAAAGGGUAUACUUAAAUGUUAGGGUUUAACAUAAUUAGAGAUCAGUGAUUAUGGAUCACAUAGCUUAGUUCUACUAAUUUUGGUGGGACACAAAAUUACAACAUGAGUAACUUUAUACACAACAUUUUAUCAAUCUCACAACAUUAAACAUCUAAUUAUAAUUAAGGUUUUCCUUUUUAUUUAUUUUCUUAAAUAGAUAAAUUAACAUAUAAACUAUCCUAUAGCUUAGACCAAAAAUUAGAGUACUCAGACUGCGGAUGAACAUAAUUUCUUUGGACAGAGAAUAUUUCUACGAACAUUUUGCAAUUUUAAUCACUAAAUUUGGAGUUCAUAUGAAAAAGGUAUGAAAUAAACAAGUUUUGGAGUUUGAAAUAUGAAACUAAGCCCAAUUCUGUAAUUAUUUAAAAAGCUAGGGGUCUAAUUAUAAGAAUUCAGGGGUCUGCGCGCUAAAACUCAGGCCGGCGGGUUGAUUCUCUAAACCCGAUGGUCUCUUAAGCAAAAAUACACGCGAAGGGGUAUUGGGCGAUCUCAACCAUCAGAUCGCAGAUCAACAGCCAAGAUCAGAUCUCGCGGGCACAGGUGAGCAGCAAGCACUGACAGGCGGGGACAGGUGUCAGCUACCAGAGGGGAAGGCGGGUGUUGGAACUUGCUGACCUGGGCAAGUUGAUCCAACGAGGGAGUGGAAAGAGUGCAAGCAAGGUUUAGUGUAGGAUGGCAAUUGCUCUGUUAAUCUGGCCUCUCAAAGGCACUGUACGGGGUAUUUAUAGGUACCUGAGUGUCGAACGUCCCAAGACAAGGACGGUUAUGUCCUCGGGUACCUGGAUUAUCCCCAGAAUAUUCCCAUAAAGGAGGGUUACAGACCGUCAUUACAAAAAAGCUAUUACAGAUGAGGCCCGUAACCUGCCUAUCCACGCGGGGCCCGUUGCAGUGGGCCGAAUUCCACGUGGGCCUCCGGGCGAGUUGAGGGACGCGGGACCAGCAGACUUCGUCAGGGUCUGGCCUUUGUCUUGCACUGGAGAGGACGAAGGGCAACCGCGCCAGUCGUCACGCAUUCGUUGAUGUAGCAAACCGAUGAAGGCUUCGCGCGAAGGGUAGCGUCUUCGCCUUCGCCCCAACAUUUGCCCUCUGAGGGACUAGUUCGACUGAGUAAUCUAGUGCCGAAGACGUCGCUAGAUGGUGGAGACGCUGCCCUCGCUCGAAGUGGUCCCGCGGGGGUUUUUGAGGUGACCGUUGAUGGGACGUGGCACUGUUGGAUUGCGGGUUUCCCGAAGCGUCGCGCCGUGUGUAUAAAAAGGUGCAGCGCGGCGUGGGAUGACUCUCACCCUUGCGUGCGCCAAAAAACCCUAAUUUUUUGAAACCGCUCACCCGCUUGCCUGCUCUCCUGGUUCCUUCUGCAUCGGAGAUCUAGCCCGCGUCAAGCAAACCGCACGCCGCCGCCAAUGGUACGUAGCGAUGUCGUCUUCUUCCUCAUCUGCUGCAAACACACCGCUGACCGAUUCGUCAUCCGAAGAUACCUUGAGCAAUUUGGCGGCGGCGGAGUUACAACCAGGCCACACGGUGGAGUUCGGCGUUUCGAGGAUUUCCUCAGUUCGCGUACAAGAUAUGUAGCAGUUGGGGUAUUUUGGGAACAACGUUGGGCGUGUCCCGGGGGCGGAAGAGGUUCCCGAGGGCGAGUUAGUCAUGUUUGAGGCGUUCUUCACCGUCGGCCUUCGCCUACCUGCACAUCGUUUCGUGGCGGAGGUCCUGCAGAGAUUUGAGGUCCAGGUCCACCAGUUGACACCGAACGCCGUGGUGGCCCUGGCGAAGUAUGUCUGGGCGGCGACUUCGUACGAUGGUCAACCUUCCGUAGAGGUCUUCGCCAAGAAUUAUUGUCUGCAUUGGCAAAAAAGAAAGAUUGGAAACAAGAUUGCAUAGUUUGGAUCGUGCACCUUCACGCCGAGGACCGGAAAGACUUUGGCGAAGUCGUGGAGUUAGUUCCCUGUGCUCGCAAUAAGUGGGGCAACUAGUGGGAUUAUUGGUUUUAUGUUUCGGGAAGCGAAGUCUAAGACCUCCCAGGGCUCUCCGCGGCCGUGAUGUGCUCCCAUUGUUAUGUGGCAUUUCCACAAUUUGAGGUGGCGGAGGAUGAUGGGGACGAAGGGGCCCUCCGGUGCGCUGCUCGCAUGAGCAGUGGGCGUGAUUUGGUUGAGGAGUUCAUUGGUUAUGGAGUGUGGCCCCUGACACAUGGCUGGGUGCUGGCCAAAGUAUGCCCUCGCCAGAUGCCUACUUUGGGCCAGCAGCUGGUGUGAAGUCCGGCCUUCUCUUUGGAUCUACGCGGCCGAGACCCGACCGCGUUCGUUCAUGAAGUGGAGGAUGGGGCGGUGAGGAUUGUAGGGCGGUAUGCGCCGAGGACGGAGAGUCUGUGGAGUUGGGAUAUCCGAGGGUCCAAUGUUCACUUGAAUAGGGUCUUCGAAUUAAACUGUUUGCCAUACAGUGGCUACCCUGGAGAUGACGCUGCUGCGGCUGUUGACCGCCGCGGGAAAAAACCAGUGGUCGUGGCUGAGGAAGGCCCUUCGCGGGAGGCUGCCCCAGCCACUAAGAAGAGAAAAAUAGGUACUACAGUGGGGGUUGGGGGUCUUUGAACGUUUUGAUGUGGAGUUGAUGGGGACUUGCGCGGCCCUCGGGGAAAGGAUGUCUUCGCCCGAGCUCCGGGAGUCUUCGCGCGAAUGCUGAAGGUUACCAGGGGUCGAUGGCCAAGGAACAUUCUGAUUCCCCGCACGGCCGGCGAGGACAUAUUUACGUCUCGUAUGGCCCGUGAGUUGAAGAUUUUUCCUUACGGAUGGAAUAUUGCUGCUGUUGUAUCGGCAGUGAUGGACAAGGAUCGUCAAGAUGCGGCACGGAAGCGCCAGGCAAUCACUAGGGUCGAGGACCCUAUGCGCGAGGUGAAGCGGGCGUGGGGAGGCGCGAAGUCCUCCGCCCCUAGUGGUAGCAAACCACCGCCGGCAGCGCAGCCUGCCGUCCUCGAGCCCAGCAAGUCUUCGGCGGGUUCGAGGGCUGCCGCUUCUGGCACGGGCAAGCCGCCAUCGACUGAACCCACGAAGGAGUGAAGGCCACUGUCGCCGGUGCGCACUGACAAAGCGGCGGUGGGUGGUUCCGAUUUUGAUAUGGACAUCUGCGUGGAUGAUUACCUCGUUGGUGAGAGUUUUUUUGUAGACUGGGUCUUGAACAAGAUUAUGGUGCAGGGCCGGAUGUGGGGCAGCUGGCUAUUGUCCCGUCUCCGGUGGCGACCACUUUGCCUGUGGUGGCGGUUGGAGCGAAGGGCACUUCGCAGGACCCAUGGUCCAAAUUCUGCGCCAACGGCUAGAUUUUGUCGGCCGCCGCCGCUAGGGACGUGGCGGGCAUUGUGUCCCAACAGCUGAAGCAUGUAAGUCGUCUUAGACUUCGUUGGUUUGUUGUUUUGAUGUGGUUGCGAAUCUGAUGUUUUUUCCGUGGCAGGCGGCCGCCUUCGCCGACCAUGUUGCGUCGGGCGCCUUGUCUUCGGAGUUUGCUGCCGAGAGGCAACGACUCAAGGGCAGGAUCGAGCGCCUCCGAGCGCAGCAUGUGGAUGCUGUUCGGGACAAGUCGGCUGCGGAAAACAAGAACCACAGGCUGGAGGAGAGGCUGGCGGCUGCGGAAGCCGAGAAGGAGGACCUCAGGCGUCGGUUGGCGGAGGAGAGGAGGGACGCAAACAAAGUUUGUGCUGAGGCGCAGUCCGCGCAAGCUGAGGCCAAGCUUGCGCGGGCGGAGGCCAGUCUCGCCCGCCAACGCAUCAAGGAGAUGGAGAUGAGGCUCGGCAGCCUACGCGACCGCCUAGACAAGAUGGAGGCCUCGAUGCGCGUGGAGGUCGAGCAGACGCAUACUCAGCUUUUGGACGCGUACCGGAAGCUGGGUGCGCGGACCGUGCCCUUCGAAGCACCCGGUCAGGAGGUGGGCCUCCGCUUCCUUGGAUGGCUACAGGAGGAGCUGGAGGUGCUCCCGACCAUUAUGACGGGCCUCAUGUCCUUCACCUCCGUCGUCACCUACGAGGGGGCCAUGAAUGCCUUGUCCCGCGAGGGGUGCAGGCACUUCGAGGCCUUCGAACGGUCUGACAAAGGCUUCGAGCACGAAAUCUUCCAGGUCGAGGACCCGGUGAUGAAGCGGUCGGCUGGGGCUCUUUUUGAUAGGAUGUGGGGCCCUCACGGCCGAGAGACUGUCCGAGAGAGGUCUGACCGAGCGAUGGAUCAGGUAAAGGUGCAUUUGUGUGAUUAUGAGUAUGUGUGGUUUGCUGAAUGGGUGUGCUAUUGCUGUAGAUGGCACAUGACGAAGAGGUUGAGGACCUUGGUGAUCUGGACAGUACACUACCUGAGGCAUCGGGGGUGGAGCUGGCGCCGCCAUCCGAUGCAGGCGAGGGCCCCUCGGCGACCCCCGCACCGACUGGAGCUGGCGAAGAACCUGCGCCAGCUACUGCGCUGACGGGUGCGGACGCCUCGAAGGUGGUGGCCGAACCAGCUGCCGAAGACCCAGGGCCUUCGCAGGUGGCAGAAUAGGGGUUAGGGAUUUAAGUGUAAACUUUUGUUUCUGUGAUACUGAACCUCGGUUGCUGCGCUGGUUCCGACGUUUGAGCCUGCGCAAGCAACCGCUGCUGGCAAUGCUGAUUUUGUGGCGGCCUCAACCGUAGUGCCUGCCGAUGAUAAUUUGUUUGGCUCUGUGUCUGAGUGUUUUGAGUCUGAUGGUAAAUCUGGGAGUUCGUUUUCUUGGACGGAGGAGUCCUCAGAUGAAGGCUUGAAUUAUUUUGCUGCAUUAGAUGUGGCUGUAGCGGAGACUUCGCCGCGUGUGGAGGGUUCCGGGGAUCUUCCUAGUGCGAGUACUGGGUAUAGGCGGCGAAGGGUGGUGGCGAAACACAGUGUGGGUGAAUUUUCGCGAAGUGGUAGGCGCCGUCGUAUGGGGAUGGAGCGUGGCCGUCUUUGAGUGGACCGGAUUGGUAAACAAGAUAUGUUGUCCUCGCCGAUUGGGGCGAGCAUAGGCGAAGGGGAUCUGCGAAAUCUUUUUGAGGGUGAGGAAUUGAGGAUAAUGCUGUUCAAUUACAGGGAGAUGGGUAUCAUCCCGAAGGUUGAGCCGAUGUAAUAUAUGAUGCCCUCGCCGAGUGUAUGUAACUGUAAUUUGUAUGAUGUGGCCUGUUGGUCGUAUUCGUGCGCCUGUGUUGAUCCGGCUGCACCCGUGGGCGACUUUUGCGCAGAGUGUCUUUUAAAUAAGAGACUUCGAUUAACACACUUGUUGUGCUAUUCCGACUGCACACUUAGGCGACUUUUGCGUGGAAUGCCUUUUAAAUAAAAGACUUCGAUUAACACACUUGUUGUGCUAUUCCGGCUGCACCCUUAGGCGACUUUUGCGUGGACUGUCUUUUAAAUAAAAGACUUCGAUUAACACACUUGUUGUGCUAUCCCGGCUGCACCCUUAGGCGACUUUUACGCGGAGUGUCUUUUAAAUAAAAGACUUCGAUUAACGCACUUGUGCUGUUCCGGCUGCACCCUUAGGCGACUUUUGCGCGGAGUGUCGCACGCGAGGGUAGUCUGCGCUGCCUCUCGCGGUGACUUCGGAGUGGUCGAAUGCCAAAUACCGUCGAUGCGGUCUUUUUCGACAUGUUGUAUCUGAGUUUUUGUUUUUGCGGGGGAUUUUGUAGAUAUAUUACAGGGCUCCGCCUUGUUAAAAACCUCACCCCCCCGGGAGGAAAAGAGUGCGGGCCGAAAUAGUAUUGCUUGGUGGAUUACAAGGGCACGUGGGCCCUGAGGGUUUAAACAAAAAAUUUGCGGAGAUUGUCAAUAUUCCAGGAGUGCUCUAAGUCUUCACCGGAUGGCGUUGAUAGCCUGUACGCGCUGGAGGAUGCCUUCGACUUGACGAUGAAUGGACCCUCCCAUUUCGGCUCCAGCUUGCCCUGUGACUCUAUCCGGGUGGUCCGUACGAGUACGAGGUCUCCUUUGUUGAACUCUCUUGGGACAACCGCGUUGUCGCGCCAGGCCUUGGUUUGAACUUGGUAUUUGUUGAGGGCCUGCAGAGCGAAGACACGGUCUCCGUCGAUGAGGUCUUUAGACGUUGGUUCGUCUACGUCGGGGACUGCUGAUGUGCUUGUUCGGGGCGACCCAUGCUUUAUCUCCUGCGGUGUCAUGGCCUCCGAUCCAUAUAAUAGAUGAAAAGGUGUGAAUCCGGUUGCCCGACAUUCAAUCGUGUUUAGGGCCCAGACUACUUCAGGUAGCUGGUUGGCCCAUUUACCCUUCUUGUCGUCGAGAAGCCUUUUCUUGAUGGCAGUGAAAAUCUUACCGUUGGCACGCUCGACGACGCCGUUGGAUUGCGGGUGAUAUAGCGAGGCAAAGGCGGGCUUGGUGCCGAUGGAGAGGCAGAAGUCCCUGAAGUCUUGGAUGUCAAACUGUUUGUCGUUGUCGACUGUGAGCUCGGACGGGACUCCGAAUCGACAAACAAUGUUUUGCCAGAAGAACUUCUUGGCGGUCUUCGACGUUAUUGUGGAUACUGCCCUGGCCUCGAUCCACUUGGUGAAGUAUUCGACGACGACGAAGGUGAACUUGAGGUUCCCUUGAGCCGUAGAUAGUGGCCCGACAAUAUCCAGCCCACAACGUUGAAGUGGCCAUGUGUGGGCGAUCAGCUUGGUGAGCUGCGAAGGGUUGCCCGAGCGGGGAGAAAACUUCUGGCAAGCUUCGCACGACCUCGUGACUCGAUUCGCGGUGCAUAUAAUCACGGGCCAAUAAAAUCCUUGACAGAUCACCUUGGCAGCGAGGGCCCUGGGCCCUGAGUGGGAGCCGCAAGUUCCGCUGUGGACUUCACGUAGGAUCUGAAUGCCUUCGGUUUCGGUGACGCAUUUUAGCAUGGGUUGACUGAUCCCCUUCUUGUAUAGCUGGUCCCCGACUAGUACGAAGUCCCGGCUUCGGUGCUUGAGGCGCUUGGCCUCAUUGACGUCACUCGGGUGGUAGUAUCCUUGCAGAAACAGUGUUAUUGGGGCCCGCUAAUCUUCAGUCAUAAUGAGGUUGACGAUGUGAUGGCCUUCUGCGUUGUUGGUUACUUGUAAUCCCUCUGGGUUGCGGACGGCUGGUGUGCCAAUGACGUGGUAGAACACGUCGGAGGGCAAGGUCUCGCCUCUGGCCGCUGCCUUAGCCAACGCGUCGGCCUCUUCGUUCCUGGCACGGUCCACAUGCUGUAAGGUGAAGCCCUUGAAUUGUCUCUCGAGACUGCGAACAUCCGUGAGAUACUGCAUGAGUGUGGGAUCUUUUGCUGAAUAUUCUUUUUCGACCUAGCCGGCAACUACUUUGGAAUUUGUCUUUACUAUGCAGGUAGUGACACCGAGCGCUCUCAGCUUGCGAAGGCCCAGUAUGACAGCUUCGUAUUCUGCUAUGUUGUUUGUGCAUCUGUCGGAUUCCAAAGCGGAGCUAAGGCGUGUUGCGUAUCUGUGCUUGAUGCCUAUGGGUGACGUGAUAAUUGCAGCUACGCCUGCCCUCGCAUGGCACCAUGCGAUGCGCCGUCGCAGUGGAUGGUCCACACCUUCUCGGAAGGUUCUUCUUUGCUGUUGUGUCGGCCCAGUCCAGUCGACGAUGAAGUCUGCCAGGACCUGCGACUUGAUUGUUGUCCUAGGUUCGAAAGUGAUGUGGUACCCGGAGAGUUUGGCUGCCCAUUUGGCGAUUCGGACGGACGCCUCCGGGUUUCUGAAUAGUUCUCCCAGUCCUCUGUCUGAGGUGACCCGCACUUUCAACGCCUCGAAGUAGUGGCGUAGCUUGCGCGAUGCCAUGACGACUGCGUAAGAGAUUUUUUCCAAUUCGGUCAUGUUGCACUUGGAGGCCGUGAGGACCUCGGAGACAUAGUAGACUAGACACUGCCGGGUCGUGCCCUCUCUGUCUUGCUCUUGGACUAGGGCUGCGCUGACUGCAUAUGGCGAGGCUACGAUGUAGAGCAGCAGAGGCAGCGAGGGGUUUGGACUGGUGAGAAUUGCCAAGUCUGACAGGUGUUGCUUGAGUGAUGCGAAGGCUGCCGCCUGUUACGGUCCCCACGCGAAGUCUUUCGCACCACUCAGUGUCUUGAGGAAGGGUAGACUCCGCUCUGCGGAUCUGGAAAUGAAUCUGUUGAGGGCGGCUAGUCUGCCUGUCAGACGCUGGACGUCCCUGGUUGACUGUGGGGGUGACAUGUUGAUGAUUGCCUGAAUCUUGGUCGGGUUGGCCUCGAUCCCGUGGUGCGACACCAGGUAGCCCAGUAUCUUCCCCUGGCGGACUUCGAAGACGCACUUCUCAGGGUUGAGGCGAAGUCGUGUGUCCCACAUGUUUGCGAACGUCUCUGCGAGGUCAGCCAGGUGGUCUUCUUUAUUUUUGCUUGCGACAACGAUGUCAUCUAUGUACGUGAAAAUGUUGCGGCCCAUUUGGCUCUCGAGCACCGUCUUGGUGAGGCGAGAGAAGGUUGACCCUGCGUUCUUGAGUCCCUCCGACAUCCUGAUGAAGCAGUACGUGCCGAAGGGUGUGAUGAAACUGGUGCUGGCCUUGUCUUCCUCCUUCAUGUAUAUCUGGUCAUAGCCGGAGAAACAGUCAAGAAGUGACAUGACUUCACAUCAGGCUGCACUAUCGACUAUCUUGUCGAUCCGUGGUAGCGGGAAAUUGUCCUUGGGACAGGCCUUAUUGAGGCUGGUGAAGUCAAUGCACAUGCGCCACUUGCCGCUUUUCUUUUGUACCAUGACUACGUUGGCGAGCCAUGUGGGGUAGGCGAUUGGUUCAAUGAAAUUGGCCUCCAGCAUGCGGUGCACUUCAGCUUUGGCGGCUUCCGUUUUUUCAUCGGACAUUUUGCGCAACCGCUAGUUUUUUGGGCGCACCGAAGGGUCGAUGCUCAGACUGUGCUCGAUUACAGUGCGACUGACUCCGACCAGGUCAAGGGCGGACCAGGGGAAGACAUCUUUGUUUCUAGAGGGACAGGAGAUGAGCUUCUCCUCGUCUUGCGAAGUCAGGUCUUCACUUAUGACAACUGUUUGCUUGGGCGUCGCCGAGUCGAGGGGAACUGUCUUCGCGUUGCUCUACAGCUGUGUUUUUGCUUUUUCGUUGCGGCUGGGCGGGUUGCCUCGGAGACUUUGUGCUGUGUCGUAAGGCAGUGUACGUUCUGUUGACCUGGAACGAAGUCUCUCUCAAUGUUGCACGCAGUCUGCUGGUUACCGUAAACCGUUAUCACGCCUUGUGAACCCGGAAUUUUCAUGCAGAGGUACAAUCCGUGAAUGGCCGCUUCAAAUUUAUUGAUGGAGCCCCGACCCAUUAUGGCGUUGUAGGGAUAGACCAUGUCGAUGAUGUCAAAGGUGACCUGUUCGCUUCGCGCAUUGGGUGCUACGCCGAAUGACAGGGGUAAUUCUAUCUUGCCCAUGGGGAAAGUGCCCUUGCCGCCGAAGCCAUAUAGGGGGUUGUCCGAAGGCUUGAGUAAGCUGUGGCUGAUGCCCAUGCGUUCGAAGGCGUGCAGGAAGAUGAUGUCCGCUUGGCUGUCGUUGUCGACUAGGACUUUGUGCAGGUCCUAGCCUGCUACAUUGCAGUUGAUUACCAUGGCGUCGACGUGGGGUGCGCUGCGCAGAUCAACAACUCUAGCGUCGAAGGUUAAUGGCACAUGUGACCACUUCGUUUGCACGACUGGGCCGGUGAGGGCGACGUGGUUGACACUUCGGUAGUGAUCCCUCUUUUGCCGCUUUGUCUCGAAGUCGACGCUGGACCCUUCAGUGAUCAUGUGGAUGACUCCGCGAUACGGCUGAUCGGCGAAGUCUCUUUGUUUUGGUGCUUGGUGGUGAUUUUGGUGGUGUGGGUUCGGUUGAUGCGGAGGCAGGAGCGGAGGUGGUACGACUUGUACCUCCUGGUGGUGCUGAUAUGCGUGGUUGGGUUGAUGUUGGGCGUGGCCGUUGUUGUAUGGUUGUGGGUGGUGGUGUUGAUAUGUGUGCGCGACAACUCUCUCGUUGUCGGCUGGUUGUGCUCGGGACAUUCUGUCCCUGGUGGCCUUUGUUUUCGGGCAAUCCCUUGUUGGAUGCGCGCAGUCUUCACCAUGAAACAUGCAUUAAUAUCUGCAUGGUUGCUGCGCCCGUCCUCAGCCAUGGCCUCGCGUGCCAUUGCCAUGGCCCUGAGGGGGAUAGUCUUGACGACGAGCGGCUUCGCCGGCGGGGUGCUGGUUGGCUAUGUUGUGCACCUGCUGCUGACUGUGGCUGUCCCGUCCGAAGUCUGACUGCGAAGGUGUUGGGGACUUGUUCUCAAAUGCUAUGAGUUAAGAACAAGGCAACAUAGAAAAUGUUAAUCGAUUAAGUCCUUCGUCCUUUGAAGCAUUAUUCCCCUUAGGAUAUAAUGCUUUUCGGACGAAGGUUGUGAAAUGCGUACCUUCAUAAAUACACUAUAGAGUGACGAAGGAUGAAUUGUAAGAAAUAUAAAGGACAACAUAAACAAUUAUAUAUUAUUAUUAUGUAUAAACAGAAAUAACAUUGAAUUACAAAUGUACCUUCAACUUGAAGGAGAUGAAAGUACAAGCGUGACGCAAAAGUGAAUGCCAAAUCAGCGUGAACAGUACGGGAGUACUGUUCACCUAUUUAUAGGCACAGGACAUAGCCUGUGCAAAAUUACAUUUAUGCCCUUUACAUUUGAUACUAAUUCUAUAAUAAUCUAUCGAGGUCUGAAUGGCCUUUUCAUCUUUAAGUCGGUUUCAUUUUGUUGCUAUGCCGAAGCUUUCCUGCUCACACCUUCGGCGCCAUAUCAACCUUCGUAUUAUUCUGGUCUGCUGUGAUAUCGACUUGAGUCCGAAGAUACCUGUUCACACAUUAAACUCCAGAAAUACUGUUAAAUCCUGUUUUUGAGGACCUUCGUAAUCCGAAGGCCCCCAACAGUAGCCCCUCGCAAUAUUAAUUUAUUUAAAAUAAUAAAUUCAGAUUGCGACAUGGACGAAGGCUUUUCGCCGAAGGUCCGAAAAAACACCUUCCCUUUGCUAGAAUAGCAACAUUCACUGACAAGCGGGGUCUUUCAAUUUUCAACGCACUAGGCGUAUAAAUAUGGUCAUACCGCAAGCUCAUUUGGCACGCUCUUUGGCCAUCUGCUCCUGCUCACUCAAUUUUUAGCUCUUGUGCACUAAGAUUUGCUGAGUUUUUAGGUUUUGAAGCUUCGGCUUUGAAAACAGUUUUUUAGAGUUUCCGAAGAUGCCUGAAGAUAAGAAGGCUGCUGCUGAGAUGAAGCUGAGUCUCGACGAAGAGAAAAACUUGGGGUUUCUUAUAGCGAUGUCGAAGACCAAUACAGAGAAAAUCACCAAGGAGAUUUUGGAAGGUUUGUCUGAAGAUACUGGUGACAGUGACAAUUAUGAUGUGGACAGUGGUGGUGAAGACUCCGAAGAUCGUCCCUGGCGACCAAGCCAUUCAGUUUAUGGUAAAUCAACUAUCAAAGAGAAUCAUCUUGUCAACAUGAGAGGAAGGUAUUUCCGAGAUUUGUCCGUUGUGAGGGCCGACGAAGGGGAGAAGACUUGUCCUCACCCUGAAGAGAAUGAAGUCGUGGUGUACCGAAGCUUUUUGAAAGCUGGGCUGUGAUUUCCCUUGAGCAGCUUCGUUGUAGAGGUGCUGAAAAUAUUCGAAGUCUAUCUCCAUCAACUUACCCCCGAGGCAAUUAUAAGGCUGAAUAUCUUCGUGUGGGCCGUGAGAAGCCAAGGUCUGAAGCCUGAUGCAAAAAGCUUCUGCAAUAUACACGAAUUAUCAUACGAAACAAAACCUUGGGGUAAGGAACAGUAUCACAAUAAUUUUGGCUGCUACAGUUUCGUUUCUCGGUCUGGGUCAAGCUGCCCCGUGCCAACCUUUCGGAAGAGAUGGCCCGGCGACUGGAUGACAGAAUGGUUUUAUGUGAAGAAUGACCUGACAGUUCGAGAAGAUAUCAAAGGUAUAAUUAUGCGCCCUAUUUGGCAAAGCUUCGACCUUCGGAGGCCGAAGGUUGAAAUGAAUGAAGCUGCCGAAGAAUGCCAGAGGGCCUUCGACGUUAUUUGUUCGUUUAUUGGAACGAGAGAUUUAGUACAAGAGCAUAUUGCCUUCAGGGUAUGGCCGCUCGCGGAGAAAUGGGAGAUGCCGCAAGAAACCAUAAAAGAGGCCGACGAAGGUGGACUUAUCAGGCUGAAGUACACUUUUAAGUUCGGAGAUAAAUUCGUUGAGCCAGAUGAUGACUGGUUAAAAAGCAUUGAAAAUUUAAGUGAUGAACUGCUUGGGGCUUAUUCGAAGGCCGAAGAUACUGCACUGUCAGCAGCCUUCGGAGGCCGAAAAAAGAAAAGGCUGAAUCGGGUGUUUGACGCAAUCGGGUUUGUCUACCCUGAUUAUCGUUAUCCCAUUCGAGGAAAGAAAAGAAAAAACACAACCUCUACGAAAGAGGAAGCUGCAACUGUUCCUAGCGAGCCAGAGCCGAAAAGAAAAAGGAUAAAGGUUCUCACACAUCGGCCGCGCUAUAUUGAACCAGCUUCGGUGCCUGAGUUUACCGAAGAAACUUCUUCGGCCACCGAGGCUGAAAAGCCAACCAAUCCAACCUUGCUGCCAGAAGUUGCAGAAAUGGCCGAAGCGCCAACAAGGAUAGAAUUGGAAGAACCGAAAAUUCUGCUACCAAAAACCAAAGAGAUGGCCGAAGCGCCAUCCACAGAAAAAUGGAAGAAAUGAAAAAACCAACUGAAGAAAAAGCAUCAGAAGUUUUGAGUCCUGCAGCAAAUGUUGAGACAAUAAGAAAUCAAAAAGUGCCAGCAGUGACUCCGAAAAGAAAGAGAAUGGCUAAUGUGCUAGAUGUACUGGAAACAAUUAAAUCUUCAAGCACACCUCCGAAGAAGAUUGCUGCCAUUCCCGAAGCGAAAAGUGAAAUUUCUGAUACUAAAGCUCCAGAGCAAGAAACUGAAGCCGAAGCUGGGUCCUCAGAGCCCGCGAAGAUAAAAUCCUUGGAAACCGAGGAAGAAAAAAAUAAGAGAGCCAACUUUUGUUGAAGAAACCAGUGGUAUUGCCCCCGAAGCAUCCCCCAAAGUCCUUGAUUACAUUGUUCGCCAUGCUUCGGGGAAAAAACUAUCAGAAAAAGAAGAGCAAGAGGCCCAGCGCUACGCCCAAAAACUGAAGUAUCCAAAGGGGGCGUUAAUAUUCAACGGCAAUGGAGAAGAAGACUUUUUGUAUUGUCUCCCUGACAGCAAGGAGAUUUCUGUCUGUCGGGAGAUGAGCAAGAGCUUCGGAUUCCCAACAUUGGAAGACGGGCUCUCGGUGCUGUCGAAGAAUGAUCUGGCCGACAGCCUGGCCUAUAAUAGCUUAAAGGUGCAACAAAUGAGAUCUUUGUAUUUUUGUUGAAACCAAAAUUUUUUUGUUUGUUUAAAUCUAUUGACGCACACAUAUUUCUCUUUACAGGGCCUGAUACUUAGCAAUGCCCUCAGGGCACAGAAGGAUGCUGAAGACGAAGGGUGUGCUAUAGCCCUGAGCAACCUUCGUUCCGAAGUAAUCGAACUGAGGAACGAAGGUCUCGAAAAAGAUAAGAUAUUACAUUCAUUGAUAAAUAAAAUAAAGGAAGACGAAGCUGUUUUUAAAGGUCAAGCUGAAGCUCAGAAGCGCGAAAUUGAAGAUCUUCGGAAACAACUGGCCAGAGCCAAGGAAGAACGCAUACUUGAAGAAACAAAGCGAGAACUCAGCGACCAAUGGGCAGAUCACUUAGAAGGAACUGUUGAAGAGCUUCGGUCGUCCAAGAAGAGAUGCUAUAACAAAUCUAUGGAGUGUGUUAAGAAGUUAAAGGCUAGCUUCGCCAGGGUCGGCGCAUUCUCAAGCGAAGAAAACUUUACGAGAGGCAAUCCCGAAGGUCCCAUUGAAUGGAUCGACCACGAAGCUGAGGCCUUCGAAGAAAUUUUAAACAGCCGUGGAGAUAUAUGUGCUUUCUCGGGUGCCAGAGGGAUUGCCACUAUUUUAGAGAAAAAGGGUUGCGAACAUAUAAAAAUUUUAGCACAAUCCGAAGGUGCUUUGUCCUUCGAAGAUGCAAGAGAUCCUUCGGCCGAAGCUAGUAUGAUUGGUGGAAAAUUUUUUACCGAUAUCUGGGAUAAUGGUGGCCGAGAAAUGGCCGGAGAAAUUAUUCGAAAAAGUGAAAAGGGCAUUCACGAUGCUAGAGAAGUAGCUGAGGCUGCUGAAAAGAGCGCAGAGCCCGAAGGUCAAUUAGGUAUUAACUAAUAGUUUUUAUUGUGUUGUAAUCUUAAGUUUUAAGAUUUUAUUUGCAAUUUGUAAUAGCAAUGUAGCCGUAUCCUGUCCUACUUCAGAUCCUGCUAAAGCGUCUUCGGGCCCUCAGCCGAAAGGAGACGACGAAAUUAAAAAGAUGGCUGAAGCUAUUAUGGACGAAGUCGUCAAUCGGCUCCUGAACGAGGCUGCAGAAGUCGUUUUGAGAGAAGAUUAAGUAUUAUUGUAAAAACUUCUGAAAUGUAAUAUAUUGUAACAUUUUGUAACCCCAAAUGUAAUAUACCUAUUUUUGUUACUCAAUUCUUUACGAUGCAUGAAACUUUACACGUACCGCUUUUGAGUCUUUGACGAAAAAACACCUUCCCUUCUUUUCAAGCGUCGUGAAGAAGAAUUUUUCUUUGUCACAACAAUAUCCAGUGUUCUGAUGAAUAAUAUCCAGGCUUCGUGAAGAUAUUUUCCGAAGCUACACUUCCGAAGAUCAAUAAUGUGUCUCUUUGUGACAUUAUGAUUUUUCCCUUUUUUUAAGCGCUCUUCUGUAGAUUGAUAACGUGUCCACCUUUUGUGCCAUAUGCAAAAAUGAUGUAUGAUGCUUAUGCUAUGCGAAAUGAUGCGAUGAUGUUAUGUUAUGUGAGAUGAUGUUUAUUCCGAAGAUACAUACGCAUCCCUGCAAUAAAACACAAUCUUUUAUAAGCCUCCCUUAGGAGCUUCUUCGCCUUUUACUUCAGCGGAAUCAGCGUUUAUUUUUCACUGUAAGCCUCCCUUAGGAGCUUCUUCGCCUUUUACUUUCAGCGGUAUUCGCGUUGACUUUUCGCGCUUCGCCUUUUACUUAGGCGGUAUCAGCGUUGACUUUUCGCUGUAUGCUCUGCAUUCCCUUUGGAACGACUUUGGAGCAGAAAACUUACACUGCGCUCCCUUUGGAGCGGCUUUUUGUGACUUCGGCAAACUUACUCUGCGUUCCUUAGAACGACUUUUUGUUGCUUCGAAGAAUUUUCGAUAGUUCGAAGGUCCUCUUUGUUAUCACAAGUCUUUCAACAAUUUAAGCCUGUGAAGAAAAUAUAUUUUCCUUGUGGGAAUCAACGAAACUAUUUACAUGAAACCUGAACAAUGUCCUUUAUUACAGAAAAUAAAACUAAAUGAAAAAGAUUGCUAUUAAGGGAGGAUAUUUGUCAAUAGAUGUGCUUUGACUCUGGCACAGUGCUGUUGACUGUGCGAGCUUCGGACUGUUCUCUGAAGUCCCUUUGGUGUGGAGCAUAUUGGCUCCCUUCUGGCUGCUGGCCUUGUUGCAGCGGUGGUGGAGGCGGAGGUUGUUGCCAGGAAGCCUGAGGUUGACUCGCCGAAGCAACAGAAACUGCAGGGUGAUUGCCUACAUACUCUGGGAUGUAAGGCGAAUGAUACGAAGCAGUGUGCAUGACCUGCUUCGGCUGAGCCUGUUGUGCUGCCGCUUCGGCUAUUUCUUUUUGCUUCUGGAUGGUAACAUGGUACAUCCUGGUGGUAUGACCUUUGUUCUCACCACAGAAUAAGCAAAAGAUUCUUCUCGGUUGAUCGCCAAAUCUUCCUCCGAAGCCCCUGGCGCCUCUGCCUCUUGGAGCUGGUGGUCGGAAGGAGCCUUGCUGUUGCCCCGAAGCCUGUGAGGAACAUUGUGGCCUUUGCUGUUGGCUCCCUCUAUCAUCAUUUUGUGUAGAGUUAUGAAUUGAUCUAACGUGACUCGGGUAAAACCUCCCUCCGAAGCCCCUGGUCAUUUCAGAAAACCUGAAAGCCUCCUCCCUUCUUUGGCGAAAAUCAUUAUCGGCCCGAAUGUACUCGUCCAUCUUCUGGAGCAGCUUCUCCAAAGUUUGAGGAGGCUUCCUAGCGAAGUACUGAGCUGACGGUCCUGGCCGAAGCCCCUUGAUCAUGGCCUCAAUGACAAUUUCAUUGGGCACCGUUGGUGCCUGUGCCCUCAAACGCAAGAACCUUCGGACAUACGCCUGAAGGUAUUCUUCGUGAUCCUGGGUGCACUGGAACAGAGCUUGAGCAGUAACCGGCUUCGUCUGAAACCCUUGGAAGCUAGUUAACAACAAGUCCUUCAACUUCUGCCAUGAAGUGAUCGUUCCUGGUCGGAGGGAGGAAUACCAGGUUUGAGCAACACUCCUGACAGCCAUAACAAAAGAUUUGGCCAUGACUGCAGCAUUGCCACCAUACGAAGAUACUGUUGCUUCGUAGCUCAUCAAAAACUGCUUCGGGUCUGAGUGGCCAUCGAAUACGGGAAGCUGAGGCGGCUUGUAGGACGGAGGCCAAGGUGUAGCCUGCAGCUCAGCGGACAGAGGAGAAGCAUCAUCAAAAACAAAAUUCCCAUGAUGGAAAUUGUCAUACCAGUCAUCUUCGUUGGGAAAACCCUCCUGAUGAAGGUCUUGCUGCUGAGGCCUUCGGUGUUGCUCGUCCUGGGCAAGAUGACGAACUUCUUCAGAGGCUUCGUCUAUCUGCCUCUGCAGUUCGGCUAGCCUGGCCAUCUUUUCUUUCUUCCUCUGUACUUGUUGAUGAAGCAUCUCUAUAUCUCUGAUUUCUUGAUCUAUCUCGUCCUCUGGUGGUGUUGGGCUGACAGCCUUCCUUUUCUGGCUUCGGGCCUCCCGAAGGGAGACUGUCUCCUGAUUGUGGUCCAGUGGUUGCAGAGCUGCAGCCCCAGUCGCUGAAGCUUUCUUCGGGACCAUAACGAAGGUUUAUGAUCGCCGAAGGUGUUCAAAAAACUCAAAGAGUGGAAGUGAGUUCACCGGAGGUGGGCGCCAAUGUUGGGGACUUGUUCUCAAAUGCUAUGAGUUAAGAACAAGGCAACAUAGAAAAUGUUAAUCGAUUAAGUCCUUCGUCCUUUGAAGCAUUAUUCCCCUUAGGAUAUAAUGCUUUUCGGACGAAGGUUGUGAAAUGCGUACCUUCAUAAAUACACUAUAGAGUGACGAAGGAUGAAUUGUAAGAAAUAUAAAGGACAACAUAAACAAUUAUAUAUUAUUAUUAUGUAUAAACAGAAAUAACAUUGAAUUACAAAUGUACCUUCAACUUGAAGGAGAUGAAAGUACAAGCGUGACGCAAAAGUGAAUGCCAAAUCAGCGUGAACAGUACGGGAGUACUGUUCACCUAUUUAUAGGCACAGGACAUAGCCUGUGCAAAAUUACAUUUAUGCCCUUUACAUUUGAUACUAAUUCUAUAAUAAUCUAUCGAGGUCUGAAUGGCCUUUUCAUCUUUAAAUCGGUUUCAUUUUGUUGCUAUGCCGAAGCUUUCCUGCUCACACCUUCGGCGCCGUAUCAACCUUCGUAUUAUUCUGGUCUGCUGUGAUAUCGACUUGAGUCCGAAGAUACCUGUUCACACAUUAAACUCCAGAAAUACUGUUAAAUCCUGUUUUUGAGGACCUUCGUAAUCCGAAGGCCCCCAACAGAAGGCCUUGUCUAGGUUCGGCUGGACUGCGGAGGGUCCUUGGGCUUUCUCUAAGACUCGACCUUGCGCAGAUGGAGCUCUUCGGAUCUGGCGUACUUCUCGAACAACUGAUAGAGAUCUUGGAGAUUUUUGGGUGGGUCCCUAAUGUAGUGACUGUAUAGGACGCCAGCCCGAAGGCCACUGAUGGCGUAGUGUAUGGCAAUUUGGUCGUCGACCAAAGACAGUUGUGACUUGAGAGUCAGGAACUUGCGGUAGUACUCUCGUAGGGUUUCUUUCUCUUGCUGUUUGCAGAGUGAUAGCUCAGCCAAGGCCUCGGUGUCUGGACGGUACCCUUGGAAGUUGAGCAGAAACUUGUCUCGGGGACUUUUGCAGGAGUCGAUGGACAAUGGGGGCAACCUGGUGUACCAGGUCAAGGCCGGACCCUCGAGGGCGAUGAUGAAAGACUUGGCCAUUGUGGCAUCGUCCCCUCUGGAUGAUGCGACGGCGACUUGAUAGCUCAUGAUGUAUUGUGCUGGGUCGGUGCUGCCGUUGUACUUGGGGUAGGUCCCUGCCCUGAAGUUGGCGGGCCAUGGUGACACUUGGAGUUGUGGCUCCAGGGGGCUUCGCUCAUCAAGGUAGUUGAUGCCUUGGAAAGCUGUGGCGUGCGGGAUGAAGGGUCUACGCUGGGGAAUGAAUAAGUCUCCGGCUGGCGUGCGCUGUUGGAGGGGUGGGUCAUGCUACAGAUCGUGCUGACCUUCGCUCUGCAUGAGCGCAAUCUGUUGCUUGAGUUCCCGGGCUCUCUGCUCCUCGUCUCGUAUCAUCUGGCACACCUUGGUGUGCACGGUGACACGUUGGCGCUUGGCCUCGAGGAUGUCUUUCUGCUUUUGGAGGUUGCGGUUCUUGAUGCGCAGGGCCCGUAGCUGGAGCUGUUCUUUGGCUAAGACAUCGAUGACUUCGCCGUCCUCUAUUGCGUCUUCGCCCUCUGGUGGAGCAAAGCCUAGGGGUGGUGCUUGUGGUUGUCCUCCGGAGCUGCAGGUGCGUAGGGUGCCUUCGGGAGUGGGUUGGUCGUUGCGUUGUCUCUUGCUGAGAGCUUCGUAUUCGCAGGCUUCUUGGGAGGUGUUGUCUGCGAGGGCCUUGCCCUUUUUCUCGGCUAGCAGCGCUGCCUUCGCUGCUUCGUCGACGGAUGGGGUUUCCUUCGAACUAGCUCUCUUGGGUGCCAUCGCAGGUGGUUUGUGAAAGGGAAUUAGGCUUACACCUAUUUCCUAAUUGAUUUUGGUGGUUGAAUUUCCCAACACAAAUAAUUGGACUAACUAGUUUGCUCUAGUCUAUAAGUUCUACAGGUGCCAAAGGUUCACAAAAAGCCAAUAAAAAGACCAAGAAAAGGGUUCAAUAAAAAGAGCAAGGGAUAACCGAAGUGUGCCCUGGUCUGGCGCACCGGACUGUCCGGUGCACCACCGGACAGUGUCCGGUGCACCAGGGGACUCCAAGCUGAACACUUCACCUUCGGGAAUUCUAAAAGGCGCUUCGGUAUAAUUCACCGGACUGUCCGGUGCCCCAAGGAAGAGCGACUCUAAACUCGCCAGUUUCGGAUUUCCGCUCCGCUAAAAUUCACCGGACAUGUCCGGUGCACACCGGACUGUCCGAUGAGCCAGCGGAGCAACGGCUACUUCGCGUGCAACGGUCGACUGCAACGCAUUAAAUGCGCGCCUGCGCGCGCAGAGGAGCAGUGCACACGCGGGUGGCACACCGGACAGUCUAUAGGACUUGUCCGGUGCUCCACCGGACAGCCAGGCGGGCCCACACGUCAGAGCUCCAACGGUCGGAACCCAACGGCUAGGUGACGUGGCUGGCGCACCGGACAGUGUCCGGUGGCACACCGGACUGUCCGGUGCGCCAUGCGACAGCAGCCUCCACCAAACGGCUAGUUUGGUGGUUGGGGCUAUAAAUACCCCCAACCACCCCACAUUCAAGUCAUCCAAGUUUUCCACCUUCCAACUACUUACAAGAGCUAAGCAUUCAAUACAAGACACACCAAAGUGAUCAAAUCCUCUCCCAAUUCCACACAAGGCUUUAGUGAUUAGUGAGAGAGAUUUGUUGUGUUCUUUGGAGCUCUUGCGCUUGGAUUGCUUCUUUCUUUCAUUCUUUCUUGCGAACAACUCAAUUGUAACCGAGGCAAGAGACACCAAUUGUGUGGUGGUCCUUGCGGGGAAGUUUGUUCCCGUUUGAUUGAGAAGAAGAAGCUCACUCGGUCCGAGGGACCGUUUGAGAGAGAGGGAAAGGGUUGAAAGAGACCCGGUCUUUGUGACCACCUAAACGGGGAGUAGGUUUGCGAGAACCGAACCUCGGUAAAACAAAUCCGCGUGUCACACUCUUUAUUCACUUGAGAUUUGUUUUGCGCCCUCUCUCUCGGACUCAUUAUUAUUUCUAACGCUAACCCGGCUUGUAGUUGUGAUUAACUUUGUAAAUUUCAGUUUCGCCCUAUUCACCCCCCUCUAGGCGACUUUCAAUUGGUAUCGGAGCCCGGUGCUUCAUUAGAGCCUAACCGCUCGAAGUGAUGUCGGGAGAUCACGCCAAGAAGGAGAUGGAGACCGGCGACAAGCCCACUACAAGCCACGGGAAGGCUUCAUCGGAAGAGUCCCGCAACAAGGGGAAGGGGAAGGAGAAGAAGUCCCCUUCCCACAAGUCGCAUCUGAGUGGCGACAACAAGAAGAAGAUGAGGAAGGUGGUCUACUACGAGACCGACACCUCAUCGCCAUCCACCUCCGGCUCCGACGCGCCGUCCGUCACUUCUAAGCGCCAUGAGCGCAAGAAGUUUAGUAAGAUCCCCUUAUGCUAUCCUCGCAUUACUAAACAUACGCCUUUACUUUCCGUCCCAUUAGGCAAACCACCAACUUUUGAUGGUGAAGAUUAUGCUAGGUGGAGUGAUUUGAUGCGAUUUCAUCUAACCUCACUCCACAAAAGUAUAUGGGAUGUCAUUGAGUUUGGUGUACAGGUACCAUCCGUAGGGGAUGAAGACUAUGAUGAGGACGAAGUGGCCCAAAUCCAACACUUCAACUCCCAAGCCUCAACUAUACUCCUCGCCUCUCUAAGUCGAGAGGAGUAUAAUAAGGUGCAAGGGUUGAAAAAUGCUAAGGAGAUUUGGGACACACUAAAGACCGCGCACGAAGGAGACGAGGUGACCAAAAUCACCAAGCGGGAAACAAUCGAGGGGGAGCUCGGUCGCUUCCGACUUCGCCAAGGGGAGGAGCCACAAGACAUGUACAACCGGCUCAAAACCUUGGUGAACCAAGUGCGCAACCUCGGGAGCAAGAAAUGGGAUGACCACGAAAUGGUUAAGGUUAUUUUAAGAUCACUUGUUUUCCUUAACCCUACUCAAGUUUAAUUAAUUCGUGGCAAUCCUAGAUAUACACUAAUGACUCCCGAAGAAGUAAUCGGGAAUUUUGUGAGCUUUGAAUUGAUGAUCAAAGGCUCGAAGAAGAUCAACGAGCUUGUCGACCCCUCCACGUCCGAAGCACAACCGGUCGCAUUUAAGGUGACGGAAGAAAAGAAGGAGGAAUCUACUCCAAGUCGAACACCCAUCGACGCCUCCAAGCUUGACAACGAGGAAAUGACGCUCAUCAUCAAGAGCUUCCGCCAAAUCCUCAAGCAAAGGAGGGGGAAAGAUUACAAGCCCCGCUCCAAGAAAGUGUGCUACAAAUGUGGUAAGCUCGGUCACUUUAUAGCAAAAUGUCCUAUUUCUAGUGACAGUGACAGGGGCAACGACAAGAAGGGAAAAAGAAAGGAGAAGAAGAAAUACUACAAGAAGAAGGGUGGCGACGCCCAUGUAUGCCGCGAGUGGGACUCGGAUGAGAGCUCCUCCGACUCCUCCUCCGACGAGGACGCCGCCAACAUCGCCAUCAACAAGGGUCUUCUCUUCCCCAACGUCGGCCACAAGUGCCUCAUGGCAAAGGACGGCAAAAAGAAGAAGGUUAAAUCCAAAUCCUCCACUAAAUAUGAGUCCUCUAGUGAUGAUAAUGCUAGUGAUGAGGAGGAUAAUUUACGUACCCUUUUUGCCAACCUAAACAUGCAACAAAAGGAAAAGUUAAAUGAAUUAAUUAGUGCCAUCCAUGAGAAGGAUGACCUUCUGGACACCCAAGAUGACUUCCUAAUCAAGGAAAACAAAAAACAUGUUAAGGUUAAAAAUGCUUAUGCUCUAGAAGUUGAAAAAUGUGAGAAAUUAACUAGUGAGCUAAGCACUUGCCAUGAUGUUAUCAACAACCUUAGAAAUGAAAAUGCUAGUUUAAUUGCUAAGGUUGAUUCAAAUACUUGUAAUGUUUCAAUUCCCAAUCUUAAAAAUGAUAAUGUUGAUUUACUUGCUAAGAUUGAAGAAUUAAAUGUUACUCUUGCUAGCCAUAGGAUUGAGAAUGAGAAAUUAAUUGCUAAGGCUAAAGAACUUGAUGUUUGCAAUGUUACUAUUUCCGAUCUUAGAGAUAAAAAUGAUAUAUUGCGUGCUAAGAUUGUUGAACUUAAUUCUUGCAAACCCUCUACAUCUACCACUGAGCAUGUCACUAUUUGCACUAGAUGUAAGAUGUUGAUAUUGAUGCUAUUCAUGAUCAUAUGGUAUUAAUUAAGCAACAAAAUGAUCAUAUAGCAAAAUUAGAUGCUAAAAUUGCCGAGCAUGAACUUGAAAAUGAAAAAUUUAAAUUUGCUCGUAGUAUGCUUUAUAGUGCGAGACGCCCUGGCAUUAAGGAUGGCAUUGGCUUCCAAAAGGGGGACAAUGUCAAAAUUAAGGGUGAGACAUCUAGCUCUAAUUUUGUUAAGGGCAAGGCUCCCAUGCCUUAGGAUAACGAGGGUUACAUUUUGUACCCUGCCGGUUAUCCCGAGAGCAAGAUUAGGAGAAUUCACUCUAGGAAGUCUCACUCUGGCCCUAACCAUACUUUUAUGUAUAAGGGUGAGACAUCUAGCUCUAGGCAACCAACCCGUGCUAAGUUGCCUAAGAAGAAAACUUCUAGUGCAUCAAAUGAAUAUAGCAUUUCAUUUAAAACUUUUGAUGCAUCUUAUGUGUUAACUAACAAAUCCGGCAAGGUAGUUGCCAAAUAUGUUGGGGGCAAGCACAAGGGGUCAAAGACUUGUGUUUGGGUACCCAAAAUUCUUGUGUCUAAUGCCAAAGGACCCAAAACCAUUUGGGUACCUAAAGUCAAGAACUAAACUUGUUUUGUAGGUUUAUGCAUCCGGGGGCUCAAGUUGGAUAAUCGACAGCGGGUACACAAACCACAUGACAGGGGAGAAGAAGAUGUUCUCCUCCUAUGAGAAAAACCAAGAUCCCCAACGAGCUAUCACAUUCGGGGAUGGAAACCAAGGUUUGGUCAAAGGAUUGGGUAAAAUUUCUAUUUCACCUGACCAUUCCAUUUCCAAUGUUUUUCUUGUUGAUUCAUUAGAUUACAAUUUGCUUUCCGUAUCUCAAUUAUGUCAAAUGGGCUACAACAGUCUUUUUACUGAUGUAGGUGUCACUGUCUUUAGAAGAAGUGAUGAUUCAGUAGCAUUUAAGGGAGUGUUAGAGGGUCAGCUAUACUUAGUAGAUUUUGAUAGAGCUGAACUCAACACUUGCUUAAUCGCUAAGACUAACAUGAGUUGGCUCUGGCACCGCCGACUAGCCCAUGUUGGGAUGAAGAGUCUUCAUAAGCUUCUAAAGGGAGAACACAUUUUAGGAUUAACAAAUGUUCAUUUUGAGAAAGACAGGAUUUGUAGCGCAUGCCAAGCAGGGAAGCAAGUUGGUACUCAUCAUCCACACAAGAACGUCAUGACGACUGAGAGGCCACUGGAACUCCUACACAUGGACCUAUUCGGCCCGAUAGCUUACAUAAGCAUUGGCGGGAGUAAGUACUAUCUAGUUAUUGUGGAUGAUUAUUCUCACUUCACUUGGGUAUUCUUUUUGCAGGAAAAAUCUCAUACCCAAGAAACCUUGAAGGGAUUCUUGAGACAGGCUCAAAAUGAGUUCGGCUUAAGGAUCAAGAAAAUAAGAAGCGACAACGGGACGGAGUUCAAGAACUCUCAAAUUGAAGGUUUCUUUGAGGAGGAGGGCAUCAAGCAUGAGUUCUCUUCUCCCUACACACCACAACAAAAUGGUGUAGUGGAGAGGAAGAAUAGAACUCUAUUGGACAUGGCAAGAACCAUGCUUGAUGAGUACAAGACUUCGGAUCGGUUUUGGACCGAGGCGGUCAACACCGCCUGCUACGCCAUCAACCGGUUGUAUCUACACCGAAUCCUCAAGAAGACAUCAUACGAACUCCUAACCGGUAAAAAGCCCAAUAUUUCAUAUUUUAGAGUCUUUGGUAGCAAAUGCUUUAUUCUUGUUAAAAGAGGUAGAAAAUCUAAAUUUGCUCCUAAGACUGUAGAAGGCUUUUUACUAGGAUAUGAUUCAAACACAAGGGCAUAUAGAGUCUUUAACAAGUCCUCUGGACAAGUUGAAGUUUCUUGUGACGUUGUGUUUGAUGAGACUAACGACUCUCAAGUAGAGCAAGUUGAUCUUGAUGAGAUAGAUGAUGAAGAGGCUCUGUGCAUCGCGCUAAGGAACAUGUCCAUUGGGGAUGUGUGUCCUAAGGAAUCCGAAGAGCCUCCAAAUGCUCAAGAUCAACCAUCCUCCUCCACGCAAGCAUCUCCACCAACUCAAAAUGAGGAUGAGGCUCAAGUUGAUGAAGGAAAAGAUCAAAGAGAUGAGCCACCUCAAGAUGACGGCAAUGAUCAAAGGGGAGAUGCAAAUAAUCAAGACAAGGAGGAUGAAGAACCAAGACCGCCACACCCAAGAGUCCACCAAGCAAUCCAACGAGAUCACCCCGUCGACACCAUCCUCAGCGACAUUCAUAAGGGGGUAACCACUAGAUCUCGUGUUGCACAUUUUUGUGAGCAUUACUCUUUUGUUUCCUCUAUUGAGCCACACAGGGUAGAGGAAGCACUACAAGAUUCGGAUUGGGUGGUGGCGAUGCAAGAGGAGCUCAACAACUUCACAAAGAAUGAGGUAUGGCAUUUAGUUCCCCAUCCUAACCAAAAUGUUUUAGGAACCAAAUGGGUCUUUCGCAACAAACAAGAUGAGCAUGGUGUGGUGACAAGGAACAAAGCUCGACUUGUGGCCAAGGGAUACUCCCAAGUAGAAGGUUUGGAUUUUGGUGAAACCUAUGCACCUGUAGCUAGGCUUGAGUCAAUUCGUAUAUUAUUAGCCUAUGCUACUUACCAUGGCUUCAAGCUUUAUCAAAUGGACGUGAAGAGUGCCUUCCUCAAUGGACCAAUCAAGGAAGAGGUCUGUGUUGAGCAACCUCCUGGCUUUAAAGAUAGUGAGUAUCCUAACCAUGUUUAUAAACUCUCUAAGGCACUUUAUGGGCUCAAGCAAGCCCCAAGAGCAUGGUAUGAAUGCCUUAGAGAUUUCCUUAUCACUAAUGGAUUCAAAGUCGGAAAAGCCGAUCCUACUCUAUUUACCAAAACACUUGAAAAUGAUUUGUUUGUAUGCCAAAUUUAUGUUGAUGAUAUUAUAUUUGGGUCUACUAACGAAUCUACAUGUGAAGAGUUUAGUAGGAUCAUGACACAAAAAUUCGAGAUGUCAAUGAUGGGGGAGUUGAAGUAUUUCUUAAGAUUUCAAGUGAAGCAACUCCAAGAGGGCACCUUCAUUAGCCAAACGAAGUAUACUCAAGACAUUCUAAACAAGUUUGGAAUGAAGGAUGCCAAGCCCAUCAAGACACCCAUGGGAACCAAUGGGCAUCUCGACCUCGACACGGAAGGUAAAUCCGUAGAUCAAAAGGUAUACCGGUCGAUGAUAGGUUCACUACUCUAUUUAUGUGCAUCUCGACCGGACAUUAUGCUUUCCGUAUGCAUGUGUGCAAGAUUCCAAGCUGACCCUAAGGAAGCUCACCUUACGGCCGUAGAACGAAUCUUGAGAUAUUUAGUUCAUACUCCUAAGUUUGGGCUUUGGUAUCCUAGGGGAUCCACAUUUGAUUUAAUUGGUUAUUCGGAUGCCGAUUGGGCGGGGUGUAAGAUUAAUAGAAAGAGCACAUCGGGGACUUGCCAGUUCUUGGGAAGAUCCUUGGUGUCUUGGGCUUCAAAGAAGCAAAAUUCCGUAGCUCUUUCUACCGCCGAGGCCGAGUACAUUGCCGCAAGCCAUUGUUGCGCGCAACUACUUUGGAUGAGGCAAACCCUUAGGGACUACGGUUACAAAUUAACCAAAGUUCCUCUUCUAUGUGAUAAUGAGAGUGCAAUUCGCAUGGCGGAUAAUCCCGUUGAGCAUAGCCGCACUAAACACAUAGCCAUUCGGUAUCAUUUUCUAAGGGAUCACCAACAAAAGGGAUAUAUCGAGAUUGCAUACAAUAAUACUAAAGAUCAAUUAGCCGAUAUCUUUACCAAGCCACUAAAUGAACAAACCUUUAACAAACUUAGGCAUGAGCUAAAUAUUCUUGAUUCUAGGAAUUUCUUUUGAUGUCUUGCAUACAUAGCUCAUAAAUAUACCUUUGAUCAUAUCUCUUUUAUAUGCUAUGACUAAUAUGGUUUCAAGUGAAUUUCAAACCAAGUCAUAGGUGUAUUGAAAGGGAAUUGGAGUCUUCGGCGAAAACAAAGGCUUCCACUCCACUCCAUAACUCAUCCUUCACCGUCACUCCGGGCAACUCUCCAAGUUUGGUAUAAUCUUCACUCAUAUAUCUUUUACCAAAGGGGGAGAAAGUAAUUCAAAGGGCUUAUAUUUCACUUAAAGUAUCCGUUUUUGGCGAUUCAUGCCAAAGGGGGAGAAAGUAUUAGCCCAAAGCAAAAGGACUGCACCACCACCUAAUUUUAAAAAAAACUAAUGAUUUUCAAUUCGUAAAUUUCAAAUUGGUAUCUUAUUGUGUUCAAAAGGGGGAGAUAGUAGUAUUUUUCAAAAUCGAUAUGCUAAAACCCUCUUGAACACUAAGAGGAGAUUUCAUUGAAGGGGAGUUUUGUUUAAGUCAAAGGAAAAGCAUUUGAAAUAGGGGGAGAAAAAUUUCAAAUCUUGAAAAUGCUUCGCAAAAUCUUACUCAUUUACCUUUGACUAUUUGCAAAAGGACUUUGAAAAGGAUUUACAAAAGAAUUUACAAAACAAAACAAGUGGUGCAAGCGUGGUCCAAAAUGUUAAAAUUAAAGAAACAAUCCAUGCGUAUCUUAUAAGUAUUUAUAUUGGCUCAAUUCUAAGUAACCUUUGCACUUACAUUAUGCAAACUAGUUCAAUUAUGCACUUUUAUACUUGCUUUGGUUUGUGUUGGCAUCAAUCACCAAAAAGGGGGAGAUUGAAAGAAAAUUAGGCUUACACCUAUUUCCUAAUUGAUUUUGGUGGUUGAAUUGCCCAACACAAAUAAUUGGACUAACUAGUUUGCUCUAGUCUAUAAGUUCUACAGGUGCCAAAGGUUCACAAAAAGCCAAUAAAAAGACCAAGAAAAGGGUUCAAUAAAAAUAGCAAGGGAUAACCGAAGUGUGCCCUGGUCUGGCGCACCGGACUGUCCGGUGUGCCACCGGACAGUGUCCGGUGCACCAGGGGACUCCAAGCUGAACACUUCACCUUCGGGAAUUCUCAGAGGCGCUUCGCUAUAAUUCACCGGACUGUCCGGUGCCCCAAGGAAGAGUGACUCUGAACUCGCCAGUUUCGGAUUUCCGCUCCGCUAAAAUUCACCGGACAUGUCCGGUGCACACCAGACUGUCCGGUGAGCCAGCGGAGCAACGACUACUUCGCGCGCAAUGGUCGACUACAACGCAUUAAAUGCGUGCCUGCGCGCGCAGAGGAGCAGUGCACGCGCGGGUGGCACACCGGACAGUCUACAGGACUUGUCCGGUGCUCCACCGAACAGCCAGGCGGGCCCACACGUCAGAGCUCCAACGGUCGGAACCCAACAGCCAGGUGACGUGGCUGGCGCACCGGACAGUGUCCGAUGGUGCACCGGACUGUCCGGUGCGCCAUGCGACAGCAGCCUCCACCAAACGGCUAGUUUGGUGGUUGGGGCUAUAAAUACCCCCAACCACCCCACAUUCAAGUCAUCCAAGUUUUCCACCUUCCAACUACAUACAAGAGCUAAGCAUUCAAUACAAGACACACCAAAGUGAUCAAAUCCUCUCCCAAUUCCACACAAGGCUUUAGUGAUUAGUGAGAGAGAUUUGUUGUGUUCUUUUGAGCUCUUGCGCUUGGAUUGCUUCUUUCUUUCAUUCUUUCUUGCGAACAACUCAAUUGUAACCGAGGCAAGAGACACCAAUUGUGUGGUGGUCCUUGCGGGGAAGUUUGUUCCCGUUUGAUUGAGAAGAAGAAGCUCACUCGGUCCGAGGGACCGUUUGAGAGAGGGAAAGGGUUGAAAGAGACCCGGUCUUUGUGACCACCUCAACGGGGAGUAGGUUUGCGAGAACCGAACCUCGGUAAAACAAAUCCGCGUGUCACACUCUUUAUUCGCUUGCGAUUUGUUUUGCGCCCUCUCUCUCGGACUCAUUAUUAUUUCUAACGCUAACCCGACUUGUAGUUGUGAUUAACUUUGUAAAUUUCAGUUUCGCCCUAUUCAUCCCCCCUCUAGGCGACUUUCAGUUUGUUCGUAGCACAAACGGUGGGCGCAAAAUGUUGGAACUUGCUCACCUGGGCAAGUUGAUCCAACGAGGGAGUGGAAAGAGUGCAAGCAAGGUUUAGUGUGGGAUGGCAAUUGCUUUGUUAAUCUGGCCUCUCAAGGGCACUGUACGGGGGUAUUUAUAGGUACCCGAGUGUCGAACGUCCCAAGACAAGGACAUUUAUGUCCUCGAGUACCCGUAUUAUCCCCAGAAUAUUCCCAUAAAGGAGGGUUACAGACCAUCAUUACAGAAAAGCUAUUACAGAUGAGGCCCAUAACCUGCCUAUCCACGCGGGGCCCAUUGCAGUGGGCCGAAUUCCACGUGGGCCUCCGGGCGAGUUGAGGGACAUGGGAGCAGCAGACUUCGUCGGGGUCUGGCCUUCGUCUUGCACUGGAGAGGAUGAAGGGCAACCGCGCCAGUCGUCACGCGUUCGUUGAUGUAGCGAACUAACGAAGGCUUCGCGCGAAGGGUAACGUCUUCACCUUCGCCCCAACAGCAGGCUGACCAGUCGGGCCCAGCGCCAGGGGGCAUAGGCGCUGACUGGCAGGCCCAGAGAUAGAGCGUGGGUGAGGGGAGCGGAUCUGGACGACUAGAUUUGCAUCGGACGGUCGAGAUUAGAUUGGUUCUAAUUAAAUCCUAACCGCCAUAUCUCGGGUGAAUGUCCGAGAUCCAUCGGCCAGCGUGGUCGGGAUGGCUGGUACUUGGUGCGGCGGUGCCGCUCGACCUCGCGGUGGGGUCUCGCAGAGACGAGGGUAACGGCCACGGCAGGGCUCUAGGUACUUGGGGAAGGACUUGGGCAUAUUCAGGGCAAUCUGGCGAACACAACCGUGGGCACAACACCAGCGUGGAGGCACAGAGGGCGCAGAACACGGUGGGAUGGUUCCACGACGGCGUGAAUCUACUCCAGCGAGCAACCACGCGAAGACCAGGGCAAUAACAGAGACAUAGAGGCGCGGGGAGGUUGCUCACCUCGAGAGGAAACACUGGAGUUCCGGAGCAAUGGCGGAGAUGAAGGGACGCCUCGGGUCGACGGUGGCGGAGCUCUGGCUGCACGGAGAGAACUCCAGUGAGCGCGGACCGGGCAAACCAGAGGGACUGGGGGCGAAUCGAGGGGUGUCCCGAGUUGCUCAUGGCAAGGCAAAACUCACCAAGGCAACGGGCGCGACGCGGGCUCGAUGGCGGCCGUAGAACGAACGAUGGACUUCGGUGAGCGGCGGCGGAGGUGCCUAGAUGCGCGCAGGGCAAGAGUGCUCGGCUGAGGGCGCAAAUGAGCAGGGGAAAGUGGGCGAGCAGGGUGCGGGCUCUAAAGGGGCGAGGGCGUGCAGAGGUGGCCAGAGAUUGCGUGGACGUGGCCAUCCACGGCGGGGGCGUGGGCGGGAGGUUAGUGACGGGUGGGGGUGGCUGACACGUGGGGUCCACGGGGCAGAGAGAGGGAACGAGCGCAAAUGGGCGGUCAGCGCUGACAGGAAGGUCCCAUGGGACAGCGAGAGAGAGAACGUGCGGACGGGUCGGUGCCGAUAGGCCUGGCCCACCAAGCAGCGGGAAGGAGAGAGGGAGAGAGAACGCGUGUGCGUGGACGCGGGCGGUCACUGGUGGGUGGGGUCCACCGGUCAGGCAACGCGGGCGCGCGCGCGGCUUGGCUGGGCCGAGUUGGGCCGACUGGGCUGAAAUGGCUUUUUUCCUUUUUCUAGUGAAUUUCUAAUGCUUUUCUAUUUAUUUUCUCUAGGGUUUUCAAUUCAAAUUCAAACCAAGUUUCAAAUUCAAACUAUAUCAAGCAUGUGCAACAAUUCAAAGAAUAUUUGGAGCUUAGCAUGAUGCAACAUUUCAUGACUCAUAUUGUUUUGAAAAAAUAAAAUAAUUAAUCCCUCACUAAUUAAGCUAAUCUACCCAAAAUAAAGAGAGAGAGAGAGAAACUAGAGAGAGAAGAGUAACACCUGAAUUUGGUAGGUAAUUAGAAAGAAAUUUUAUACCCCCAAAUUCAGGAUGUUACACACCUAUCCCCUUAAAAGAAUCUCGCCCUCGAGAUUCAGGGUUGGCUAGCAAAGAGUUCAGGGUACUUGGCUCUUAGAUCAUCUUCUCUUUCCUAGGUUGCUUCUUCUUCUGAGUGAUGGCCCCAUUUGACUUUGCACAUCUUGAUGGUGCUUCUUCGAGUGACCCGAUCCGCAGUCUCUAGAAUUUGAGUUGGCUUCUCAAUAUAAGUCAGGUCUUCUUGAACUUCAAGGUCCUCUGUUGGCAACUGCUCUUCUGGUACUUGCAAGCAUUUCUUCAGCUGAGAAACAUGAAACACAUCGUGCACGAUGAACAGAUUUUCUGGUAAGCUUAGUUGAUAUGCCACUUCUCCAUGUCUUGCUUGAAUCUGGUAUGGUCUGAUGUAUCGAGGUGCUAGCUUGCCUUUGACUCCGAACCUUUUGAUUCCUCUAAAGGGUGACACUUUCAAGUAAACAUAAUCUUCCACUUCGAAACUCAGUUCUCUCCUUCAGGUGUCAGCAUAGCUUCACUGUCUAGACUGCGCUGUCUUUAGAUUCUCUUGGACCAUUCUGAUGUUUUCUUCAGCUUCAAGCAAAAUAUCUGGACCGAACACAUGCCUUUUGUCGGGUUGGUCCCAAUGCAACGGAGUUCUGUAAUCCCUCCCGUAGAGUGCUUGGAAUGGUGACAUCUUCAUACUGGCCUGAUAGCUGUUGUUGUAGGAGAAUUCUGCAUAGGGGAGCCUCUUGUCCCAACCUAACUUGUCUUAACAAAGCACAAGCCCUCAACAUAUCUUUGAGGAUCUGGUUGGUUCUCUCCGUCUGACCAUCUGUCUGCGGGUGAUAAGCUGAACUAAACUUCAAAUGUGUACCCAAAGCUUCAUGUCGCUGCUGCCAGAAAUGAGAAGUGAACUGGGUGCCUCUGUCGGAUACUAUCUUCUUUGGAAUGCCAUGCAAGCACACAAUCCGAGACAUGUAUAAUUUUGCCAACACUGCACUGUUAUAGGUGGUCUUGACUGGUAUGAAAUGAGUCGCCUUUGUUAAACGGUCCACUACUACCCAGAUGGAGUCAUAACCAGCUCGAGUGCGGGGUAGACCAACUAUAAAGUCUAUCCCGAUCUCAUCCCAUUUCCACUGAGGGAUCUGCAUCGGUUGCAACAAACUUGCGGGCCUCUGAUGUUCUGCCUUGAUCCUCUGGCAACUGUCGCAUCUGGCAACAUAGUCUGCUAUCUCCCUUUUCAUAUCGUAAUGCCAGAAUCUUUUUGUCACACCCGGUUUUAGAAGGUAAACCGAAUGCGAACCAUGUACGUGCCAGGAUCAGAAAUUCACGUACACAACGAUUACAUAAAUGACUCAUCAUAGCACAAUGCUUCGAAUUACAAUAAAGAGUAAAUAAUAAUAUUACAUACUAGAGUCAUUUGCAUAAUAUGAAUCAAAGUACACAGAAUCGAAACGUAGCCAACGUAAACAACCCACCACAGGCAGCUGACUAGGGGAGGUCGCUAGCCUAAUCCUCGAACUCGUCGAUGUCCUGAAAUUCCUAGAGAUCCGCCUCGACACCGUUCUCCUUCUUCUUUACCUGAGCAUAGAUUGCACCAAAGGCAACCUGGUGUUUUGUGAAAGCAAGGGUGAGUACACAUCAACGUACUCAGCAAAUGUCCCGUUUGGCUGUAGUGGACUAGCUUUAUGUGGAGUUAAGUCAAGCAGUUGCGUUUAGUUGGUCAGGUUAUUAUUACUAGUAGAAAGCCAGGUUUUAGCGUUAACCCAAGUUAUUAACCCAAAGUACCCUUUCCAAACGGAAAGAAUACCACUUACCAUUACCAGAGUCAUAAGCAUCAUCCUUGUCACCACCUGUAAUCCAAACAUCUCUGAUCCAGUAUCUCUAAUCAAUGGAGCUCCCUUGGCCGCUCAUAACCGCGAGCACGGCUGAUAUAUCAGUUUCAUAACACUCUGCAGAGGUUGCGCACUUUACCCAUGAGUCGUGAUUCCCUUUUUGCCUCGGGCCGAUCAAACCCUUAAACACUACCAAGGUGAAUAGGCAGGGUUUCACUACGUAGCCUUUACCAAGAUUCCCCGGGGCUGUAGCCGCCCGCUAGGUUUCCUAAAUGUAUCGCACUCCUCCCCAAGGGGCGAACCAAACUUGGCAGAGCGAGCCGCAUACACCGAGCCCCAUUGACGACACGACGGCUAAGCAAACUACACCCCGGUUCCUCUAAUUAUUCAGCUAAGGGCAUCCCAUUCCACCCUUAUGGUUGCACUGUUUUCCCGGGCGGUCAUCCAACGAACAGGUCCUUACGGAGAGGCACUCGAGAAACCGCUCGAGCCCCCUUGAAUACCACAGAUACAACAUCAUCAUAAAGGAGGGAAACAACGUAUCAUUGAUAAUUCUCAUCAUGUUCAUUGCUUAGAGUUGAGCAAUAGCAUAAAGCUAAACAAUAAUAACCCAAAAGGUAAUCAAGGACAAGGUAAAUACAAAGCUAGUCAAUCCUUAGGUUGAUCAUGGUAUGCGGGUUGAUGAAUUAUAAAGUAAAUUGGACAUAAUAGGUCGGAGGACACUUGCCUUCACCAAACAGAUGCUCAAGGUCUUCAACUUUGUGGAACUCGAAGAGCCUGAUCACUUGGUCGCCAACGCUUGAUCGUCGAUUCCUCAAAGCCCAGAAACGAGUCACGAUCUAAUCGCAACGCGAAGCGAAGACGAACAGGCACAAGCAAACAAACAUGUACAUAUGCAUAAGAACAUUACACCAUACAAAGAGAAACAUAAUCAAAACAUGCAAUAUGAAAUAGAGCGCGUUACUACAGUCACGCGAGGAAAAAGAAAUGUGAUAGUUGAAGCUACAAUCGAGGGGUUAGCGUAUUUACGCUAAACAAGUAUUAAUUAUAGCAUUUAGUUCGACAUGAUUAUAUUAAUCUACCCUUAUUAAAUGUAGAUUAAAACUACUACCUAGUUUCGACUGAAAUACUAUUUUAAUAGUGAAUAAUUACCCAAACAGCUAAUUAACUGACCUGAGCCAUUAUAAGCGAACCGCUUAACCUCGCGCGCGGACAACGCGCGACACACGCGAACGGCGCGCGACAACGCGUGCAAACAACACGCGACGACGCGCGCGACAACACAUGAAACAUCACGCGACAACAUGUGAAAACAGCACGACGGUAAGCUAGAAUCGUUAACCGAUCCCGCAUCCCUAUUAAGAAAGUGUUAAUUACCACAUUUGCAUCGACAUAAUCACAUUAACGGGUAUUUAUACGUGAACAUGUUAGAGCUAUACCUAAAUUGGAAUGUUAUUUUAUUAGUCAUUGGACAAACAAAUAAUCCAUUAACUAGCUAAAUCCUGUGAUGCGACCAAAUACUAUUAUUAACGUGUACUCGACAUGACCACGAAGUUACCACAAUCAGAACAGGAUCAAAUGUAUCUGCUAUGCAUACACAUUGAAUACAUACUCGCUCACGAUUCAGUACGAUGGGAUCUCAUGUGGCCACAAUCCAUCUCAUCCACGAACUAGUCCUGCGCGACGUGCAAAGGCGCGAGCAGCUACGCCGGGGCUGCUCGAACCGCGCUGGCCGAGCGAGGAUGCCGCGAGCCAUGCCGAGGCCGCUCCUGGGCGAGCCGUGGGCACGCGAGCCACACCUCGCACGAGGGGAGCUUGGCCACGCUGCGCGCCAGGGGAGGCCACGGCUAGGCCGUGCGAGGGCGUGCUAAGCCACCGCGCAGGCAGGCCGUGUCGACCCGCCGCGUAGGCCAUGCGGGAUGGCUGCCGCGCCGCCGCGCUGACUGGCUGCACGUCAGAGGGCCGCGCCCAGGCCGCCCGCGCCGGGGUCGCGCGCCCGCGUAGGGGCCACGCGCCCGCGCCGGAGCCGCCGUGGCCGAGGCCGCCUGCCCGGCCGAGAUCGACGCGCGCCCAUGCCGCCGGGGCUGGCUGGGGGCCGCGCCCGCGAGCCGUACGGCCGCCGGGCUGCGCCCGCCACCGGGGCUAGGGGCCUCGCCCGCCGAGCCGGUGCCGCGCCGGGCCGCCGAGGCCGCUGCAGGGGGGCCGGUGAGAGGGAGGGGCGAGGGAAGGGGAGGGCGAGCGGCGUCGAGGGAGAGAGAGAGGGAUGUGUGCGGGAUCGGGGAGAGAGAAGGAGGUAGGGGAAGGGGGGUGGGGCUGACGAGCGGGCCCCACCAGGGGGUGGCGGCGGCGGCUGGGGGAGGGCGUGACCUAGGGUUUUGGGGGUGGGGCUGCUGCGCGCGGGGUGGGCCAGGUGGGCCGCGCGGGGGAGGGGGCGGCUGGGCCGCGCGGGGGAGGGGCAGCUGGGCCGCCGAGCCAGCCGGCCCAAGGGGAAAGGGGGAAGGAGGGGGGGCUGCUGGGCCUGCCAACGAGCCGGCCCAAGAGAGAAGGGGGGGGGGCUCCUUUCUAUUUUCCAUUUUCUUUAUCUUUUGUUCUUUCCUAUUUUCUUCACGAUGUUAAAUUGAAUUCCUUAUUAAACCCAUGCUCCACAAAAUCACUUAUCAAACAAAGUGAAAGUAUACGCCAACAUGAUGCGACAAUCAAAGCACUCAUAGGGUUUUAAUUUACUAGGCUUACACGUAGAUAUAAUACAAAAUAAUUCCCCACUAUUUAGGGAAAAGAAAAGAAAGAUCAAGGAAAAGAGAGGGUAACACCUGAAUUUGGUGGAUAUUGGAAAAUAAAUUUUAUAUCCCCAAAUUCAGGGUGUUACAAAUCUAACCCCCUUAACAGAAUCUCGAGAGGCUAGCAAGAAAAUGAGAUUGGUUCAUUGGUUGUUCAUGACCUUCUUGAGUUGGCUUUCACUCUGCAACCUUAACUUGCGGACUUGUUGCUUUGACUUUCAGAUGCUCGAGACCAAUUGAUGCAGUUCUUGAGGAUCUCCUGGGCCUGUGGGUUAGGACCCACACAUGCUUCCGCUGCGCCACUCCGAUCUUGUUGGUUGAUGUUGAUUGCAUUGUCUUCAUUGGGGUUAGCGGCUAACCCCCUUAACAAGAGCAUUGAUACACACUUGAUGAAGAUGUUGCCGACUCUGAUCUUGACUGAUUUGGAGGAGUUGGAGGUUGCCAAAAGGACAUGUGCAUUGGAGGUUGCCAAAAGGACAGGUGCAAGAGGAAAGAAUAACGAGAAAAGGUAAGUAUAGACAGAUUAGAGAGAGCAGGGGGAGAACCCAACUACUUAACUCUAUAGCACUCACCUAGUAAACAGAUUCCAUUACGGUCCAAGGGCCACAACACAUCAACACUCAUUCCAAAGAAGGAAAUCAGUCAUAGCAGAAGGACAAACAUCAUGAGCACACAUCAACAAACAUCUCGUUGAUAUACGGUCCUUUUAAUUAAAUGGUGGUCUUUCCUUAAAAAAGGGAAACUACUCUAAGGCCAACAAAAGGCGAGGGGAAUAAUAAGACAUGGAGGGUAGGGGCAUGAGCAUAAUAAAGGAUGGAGCUAAAGCAAUGAUUGUAAUCGACAAGGGAGAGAAUGCAACCAAGGUCAGGAUAGGUAAAACACCAUUCUCAAAUCGAGAUGGAAAAGAUGAUAUUUCAAAAGGUAGGCAUAAGAUACCAUCAUGGAAAGAUCUAGAGAUUACAAAGGUAAGGGAGGUGAAAGGCAAAAACACACCAAAAGAUAGAGUUAGGACAAGACUUGCAACGCGACAGAGGAAAAAGGAAAUAAACAAGAGCGGGAUAGGCAAGAUAUCACUCUUGAAAUGAAAUGAGAGAGGAGGCUUUAAAAUGCAGGUGCAAUAUAAGCAUCAUGGUAAAGAUCAAAGGAUGACAAGGGUUAAGGUGAUAACAGACAAACACAACCAAGGAUGUAUUUUAGACAAAACUUGUGAGGCAUCAAAGAAGGGGAAGCAAUCAAUGGUGAAGUAGGUGAGGCAUUAUCCUCAAACAGCAAUGAAAAAGAGCAGGCUCUAAAGGGUAGGUUCAAAGUAAGCAUGAGGGCAAGGGCAUAGAUAUCACGAGGGUUUAAAGGUGAUAACGGACAAGGAUGUAGGAGAGGAGAUAAAUGCACAUAAUAACCAAGGAUAUAAGUACCACAAAGGAUGGAGUUAAGACAAGACCUACAGAUGAAAAAGAAGGAGGUAUGUCCAAUGGCCAGAUAGGUAAACAACCACUCUCCAAUCGAGGUGGAAGAGAGGAGAUUUUAAAGAGCCAGAAUAAAGAUUAGUAUCAAGGCAAGAUCGAUGGAUGACAAGGAGGUGGUGAUAGCAAAUAAAACACAUAGCAAAGGAUAGAAUUGAAACAAAACUUGUAAGGCGACAAGAAGUGAAAAGAAAUCAAGGGAGAGGUAGGUAACUCGCAACUCUCAAACUGGGUUGAAAGAAAGGGGAGGAUUUAAAGGAUAAGUUUAAGGUAAGCAUUUAGGUAGAAGACAUAAAUAUCGCAAGGGCCAAAGGCGAUAACGGACAAGGGUGUAAGAGAAAAGAUAAAGGCAUAGAAGAGCAAGUGGUACAAAUACAAUAACGAAUGGAGUUAAGUCUAGGCCUACACACGGUAAAGAAGAGGAUAUAGUCAAGGGUGAGAUAAGUAAAACAUAUCUCUCGAAUUGAGAUAGAAAAGAGGGGAUUUCAACAAGCAGACCUAAGAUAAGUAUCAAGGCAAGAUCUAUAGAUUACAGGGGCCACACGCCCGCGCCGAGGCCAUGCGCCCGCGCUGGAGCCGCCGUGGCCGAGGCCGCCUGCCCGGCCGAGAUCGACGCGCGCCCAUGCCGCCGGGGCUGGCUGGGGGCCACGCUCGCGAGCCGUACGGCCGCCGGGCUGCGCCCGCCACCGGGGCUAAGGGCCUCGCCCGCCGAGCCGGUGCCGCGCCGGGCCACCGAGGCCGCUGCAGGGGGGGCAGGGAGAGGGAGGGGCGGGGGAAGGGGAGGUCGAGCGGCGUCAAGGGAGAGAGAGAGGGAUGUGCGCGAGAUCGGGGAGAGAGAAGGAGGUAGGGGGAAG
rnacentral:lncRNA from 1 species